rnacentral:lncRNA from 1 species
AAUUGGACGCCCUUCUUGCAUCAAAACAGCUCCAAUACCUAUACCUGAAGCAUCACACUCAAUUUCAAAAGUUUUAGUAAAAUCAGGUAAAGCAAGUAAUGGUGCAGAAACUAAUUUCUCCUUAAUUAGAUUAAAUGCCUUUUCUUGUUCACUACCCCACUUAAAUCCCACAUGUUUCUGCACAAUUUCAGUUAAUGGUGCAGCAAGGGUGCUAAAAUCUUUCACAAAUCUUCUAUAAAAACUAGCCAAACCAUGAAAACUUCUUACCUCACUUACACUUUUAGGUGUAGGCCACUCUUUAAUAGCCUUUACCUUCUCUUCAUCAACCUCAAUUCCUUUAGCACUUACAACAUAACCAAGAAAAACAAUCUGAUUUGUACAAAAGGAACACUUCUUCAAAUUAGCAUACAACUUUUCCUUCCUUAAAACAGUCAAUACACUUUGCAAAUGUUCAAUGUGUUCAUCUAAGCCUUUGCUAUAGAUCAAAAUAUCAUCAAAAUAGACAACUACGAAUUUGCCAAUAAAAGCACGCAAAACAUGGUUCAUUAACCUCAUAAAAGUGCUAGGUGCAUUAGAUAACCCAAAUGGCAUCACUAACCACUCAUAUGAACCAUAUUUUGUUUUAAAGGCAGUUUUCCACUCAUCUCCCUCUCUAAUCCUAAUUUGAUGAUACCCACUUUUAAGAUCAAUUUUACUAAACACACAAGAACCAUGCAAUUCAUCAAGCAUGUCAUCAAGUCUAGGAAUAGGAUGUCGAUACUUUACAGUGAUUUUAUUAAUUGCACGACAGUCAACACACAUCCUCCAUGUUCCAUCCUUUUUGGGCACUAGUAAAACUGGUACUGCACAUGGACUCAUGCUCUCCUUCACAUAUCCUUUUGCCAAGAGUUCUUCAACUUGCCUUUGAAGCUCCUUUGUCUCCUCGGGGUUACUUCUAUAUGCAGGUCUAUUAGGAAUGGUAGCUCCAGGGACGAUGUCUAUUUGAUGCUCAAUUCCCCUAAUAGGUGGCAAACCGUUAGGGACUUCAUUUGGAAACACAUCAUCAAAGUCCUGCAAAAGAGUCACAAUAGCACUAGGCAAAGAAAAGUUAAGCUCAUUAGUGUGUAAACAAGCCUCUUUGCACAAAAGUACAACGAUAGGCUGUUUUGAAAAAAAAGCCCUCUUAACCUCACUCUCUUUUGCAAACAAGUUCACUUGCUGCCUCUCUUUUCUCUCAACAAUAUUUUUUUGUAUCUUUUCACUUGCUUUUCUCUCAAUCUCUCUUUCUUUUGUACUCUCAUUUUAAUUUUUUGUAUCACUCUCUUUUUUUAUUGACAUUUGAUCCUCAUACACUUGCCUAGGUGUUAAUGGUACAAGAGUGAUUUGCGUUUUAUUCAUUACAAAAGAAUAUCUAUUUAAGUAUCCAUCAUGUGUCACACGCCUAUCAUAUUGCCAAGGUCGACCCAAAAGAAUGUGUCCAGCAUGCAUGGGUACUACAUCACAUAGAACCUCAUCCUUGUAUCUCCCAAUAGAGAAUGAAACCAUUUUAUUUACUUUAACUUCCCCACAAUCAUUCAGCCAUUGUAGCUUAUAUGGCCUUGGAUGUUUCAAAGUUUUCAAAUUUAAUUUUUCAACUAAACUAGUGCUAGCUACAUUAGUACAACUUCCUCCAUCAAUUAUCAUACUACAUACCUUAUCUUUGAUGUGGCAUCUAGUAUGAAAGAUGUUAUCACGUUGUACCUCCGCAUCCUCUUUAACUUGCAUGUUGAGAGCACGCCUAGCAACCAUCAACUUACCAUCAACAGGAUAUUCUACACCAUCAUUAGCAUCCUCCAAAGGUGGCAUAGGAUCAUCAUCUGAUUCACUCUCGGUUUCAACAUCACCAUUAUCCCUCAAGAUCAUUACUCUUUUAUUUGGGCAUUGAGAUGCAAUAUGACCUGUCCCCAAACAUUUAAAACACUUAAUAUCUCUAUUUCUAGAGUGUUGGGAAUCAGAUUUACCUUUACUUUGGUUGCCUCCCUCUUUAUGAUCCUUGAUUGGCUCAAUCUUAGGCUUUGAAACAACCUUUUCAUCUUUGCUCCAUUUUGACUUCCAUGAGGAAGAUGAACCCAAAUUGGUUCUAGUGGAACCUUUCUUUUUCAAUUGUCGUUCCACUUUCAUGGCCAUGUGAACCAUGUCUUCCAACUCAACAUAGUGCUGCAAGUCAACCACAUUAGCAAUAUCUUGAUUUAACCCAUGUAAAAAUCUUGCCAUAGUGGCCUCUCGUUCUUCUUCAAUGUUGGCUCGAAUCAUGAUUAUUUCCAUCUCCUUGUGGUAAUCUUCCACACUUCUAGAACCUUGUGUAAGACUUUGAAGCCUUUGGUGCAGCUCCCUAUAAUAAUGACUAGGAACAAAUCUCCUCCUCAUAAUGGCCUUCAUCUCCUCCCAAGUGUUUAUAGGCCUUUCACGAUUUCGUCUCCUACUCAAAACAAGUUGAUCCCACCAAAUAAUAGCAUAAUCAGUAAAUUCAACAGCAGCUAGUUUUACCUUUUUCUCCUCAGAGUAGUUGUGGCAAUCAAAUACUAGCUCCACCUUUUUUUCCCACUCUAAAUAAGCUUCCGGAUCAUGUUUACCUUGAAAAGAAGGAAUUUUCAGUUUUAUACUCCCCAAAUCACGAUCUAUACGUCUUGCCCUUCUAUUAUCUCUUCCACGCAUGUCAACAGUGGCCUGGUCAUCAAAAUCAUCUACGUCAUCGCCAUCUUCUUCUCCCAUGACAGCACGCCCUUGAUUACCUCUUACAUUAGGAGCUAUUGGUUGUUGCCCCCUUUGUAGAUUGGCUAUGGCAGUGUCUUGCCUCUCCAAUUUGUCACGGAUCUCUCCAAACAUCAGAUUCAUGUGCUCAAAUUGUUGUUGCAUGGCUUUGAGCAUGAUUGAUUGGUCUAUAGCUUCUUGAUCUUUUGACAUAUUUGUGAUCUGAAAAAAAAAAUUGUUAGCAAAAAGACCUCACAACACUCCCUCACGUAUUUCACUCAAUUUUGAUGUCACUUAACUCUCGUGUUUAACACACAAAUUGCCUUUUACCACACUUAAUUCUCUCUUUCAGUUCUUUAUUGAACUAAAUAAACAAAAUCAAGAAAAAAAAACCCAAGUGGCACACCAAAUAUGACAAUCCAGCACACUAACAAAGAAAAGAAAUUAAGAGGACACAAAGAAUGAAAAGGAAAUUGAAGAAAGGAAAGCAAGCAAGCAAAGCAACACAAUUGAUAUGUGUAAACUAUGAAAGUAGAAAUACUUGACUCUUUUUUUGUAAUCUUUUUUUUUGUACGUUUUUUUUUCUUUUUUUUUUUUUUGAUAAUCAACAUUCAAACCUGAUUAGAAACUAGCUCUGAUACCAAAUGAUACUAAUCCCACAAUGAAACUUUCAAUCCUACAAUUAAUUUGUAGUUUCAACUUCCCAAGAAAGUUCUAAACAGAUUUAUGGCAAACAAAAACCUUGACCCAAUGCUUAAGAAAACAUGAACCAAAGGUAUAGAGAAGGGUAUUGACGCCACACUCAAGAAAAAGAUGAGAAGGUGAGUGAUAAGUCUAAAUUUGGAACACCACAAGAAUGUAAAUUCUUGAUAAGUUCACUAGUUCUCAAAAGAACCAAAGAAAGAAUAAUCUUUCAAAUUCAAAAUAACAUUAAUCUCCUUACAUACCAAGGUUGCUGAAUUUAAAUAGGCUAAAAGGAACCCAAGAUCCUAAAAAUACAAAUGGAAACAUUGGAACAACCCUCCAAGUAAGUUUGUCAAAAGAUGUUUCAAAAGUCUUCACCAACCCACCAUGAUCAAUGCUAUCUUUGACAAACUUAAUGCUAGCCUACUAUAAUUAAUGCUAUCAUUGACAAACUUGAAACAAAACAAACAAAUAAGUUGAAAAACAAAGGAUUCGUUGAAAAUCCCAAGUCUGAACAAGCUGUAAAGAAUUGGUCAUAACUCCUUCUAGAGAACUCCAAAUACAGCUCUGUAAAAUUUAUUGGAAAGCUAACUUAAUUAUCUUUCCAACGGUAUAUAGCUUGCAUUUUAAUUCUGGCUCAAUCAAUACAGUUUUUAUUCCGAAUUUGACCUUUCUGCAUUUGAUACAACUUGUGUAUUUGGCUGCCCAAUGACUUGAAUAAUGCCCACAAUGCCUUAUCUUCUCUUCAAGCCCAAUUCAUGAUGUCUUGCAUCUUGAAUUGCAUUUUCAAUCCAUAUUUUCUCAAUUAAUCCAUUUAAAGCAGCUUGCAUCUUUUUGGCUCUUGCUCUUGUAAUUGGGCCUCCAUGAAUGUGCAAAGGAUCACUUGAAGUUUUAAUGGUCCCUUGAUGGUUCUCAUCAUGUGGUUGUUGUUCCACGAAGGUGGAUUCUUUUUCAGCAGGGCUGACAGUUGGCGGGUUUGGUGAUCAACAUGAGGAAUAAAGUCCCUGAUAUAAUUGAUAAUACCAAGGAAUUCCUAUAGUUGCCUUUUGGAAAGAUGCUAAUCUGGAAAGUGAAUGAGCUCUUGGGCAAUGUGCUUUCCUGGCUGGUAGUGGCCGUCUUUGAUGGUUAUUCCAAGAAUUCAAUGGUAUGGGUGGCAAUUGUGCUUUUCUUAGCGGAUAACAUGAUUCCAUGAAAUUGAAUGAUGUCAAAGAAUUGAUUUAACAAAUGGCGAUGGUCGUCUAGGGUACCUGAAAAUAACAAAAUAUCGUCAAUGUAAAUCAAUGCACUAUGCAAAAUGGGUUGGAAGAUUUGGACCAUGGAUUUUUGGAAAAUAGAUGGGGUUUUUUUAAGACCAAAGGGUAAAAUUGUCCAUUGGUAAUGCGCAUUGGGGAUGCAGAAGGCAGUUUUAUAAUGUUCGGAAGGUUUAAUGCCAAGUUGCCAGAAUCCAGAUUUAAGAUCAAAUUUGGAAAAAAUUUGGGCAUUUUUUAGAUAAGUGAACAUGCUCUGUCUUUUUGGCAAAGGGAAUUUGUCAUCUUGUAAAAACAUGUUUAGAGACUGAUAGUCUAUGACUAAUAGGUUUUUUCCUAGAACAAUCUUAGAAUGUUUUUCAACAUAAAAAGCUUGGCAAGCCCAUUGAGAACUAGUGGGUUCUAUAAGACCUUGGGCUAGCAGCUGAGAACAUUCCUUUUGGGCUAGGACUAAGUCAGAAGGACUCAUUCCUGGAUGAGUGGCUUUGGUGGAAUUGACAUCUUCAUUCAACUUGAAAGGCAAUUGAACAAAGAAUUGUGGAUUUUUCCACAGGGGAUUGGGAUGGUGAAAGUCAGCAUGAGACUCGGGACAAAACUUUAAAAACCUUGUGGAAAUGUCUUGGAAAGGCUGGGAGGUUUCAGACAAACCAUAAAGCUUUAGGACAUUGGUGAAUGAUUUAAACAUGGACUUAACUCGAAUUCUAGUAGGAAUGAUUUGAAGGUGUUUUAUCUGGUGAAUGAUAUCAAAUCCUAACAAGAUAUCCUUAUUAGGCAGAUGGGAAACAAUGACUUUCGCCCAGAUAAUACAAUUUGGAAAGAUUUGAAUACCAAUGGGUUUUCUGGUAAUCAAGGUGGUGGUGAAGAGUUUUCCAUUGACUGCUUUGAAAUUUUCUUCAUAAUGUUGCCAAGACUGAGAUGGAAGUAUGUCGGGAUUUAACAUACUUCGUUGGGCCCCUGUAUCAAGAAAACCAAUGGCAGGAAUCGGUCUCUGGAAUUUGAAGGGUAAAAUGUGGAGUUUAAUGGAAGGGAUAGGGAUGGUAGUGUCAAGGGACAAUAGUUGUUGGUGGAAAAUAGUCUGAAACUUAUCAUUUUAAGAAUCAUCGGAUGAGUUUUGUAGUGCAAACACUGUUUCAUCAGUAGGCUCCUCUUGUUCUAAGAAGUAAGCNNNNNNNNNNNNNNNNNNNNNNNNNNNNNNNNNNNNNNNNNNNNNNNNNNNNNNNNNNNNNNNNNNNNNNNNNNNNNNNNNNNNNNNNNNNNNNNNNNNNNNNNNNNNNNNNNNNNNNNNNNNNNNNNNNNNNNNNNNNNNNNNNNNNNNNNNNNNNNNNNNNNNNNNNNNNNNNNNNNNNNNNNNNNNNNNNNNNNNNNNNNNNNNNNNNNNNNNNNNNNNNNNNNNNNNNNNNNNNNNNNNNNNNNNNNNNNNNNNNNNNNNNNNNNNNNNNNNNNNNNNNNNNNNNNNNNNNNNNNNNNNNNNNNNNNNNNNNNNNNNNNNNNNNNNNNNNNNNNNNNNNNNNNNNNNNNNNNNNNNNNNNNNNNNNNNNNNNNNNNNNNNNNNNNNNNNNNNNNNNNNNNNNNNNNNNNNNNNNNNNNNNNNNNNNNNNNNNNNNNNNNNNNNNNNNNNNNNNNNNNNNNNNNNNNNNNNNNNNNNNNNNNNNNNNNNNNNNNNNNNNNNNNNNNNNNNNNNNNNNNNNNNNNNNNNNNNNNNNNNNNNNNNNNNNNNNNNNNNNNNNNNNNNNNNNNNNNNNNNNNNNNNNNNNNNNNNNNNNNNNNNNNNNNNNNNNNNNNNNNNNNNNNNNNNNNNNNNNNNNNNNNNNNNNNNNNNNNNNNNNNNNNNNNNNNNNNNNNNNNNNNNNNNNNNNNNNNNNNNNNNNNNNNNNNNNNNNNNNNNNNNNNNNNNNNNNNNNNNNNNNNNNNNNNNNNNNNNNNNNNNNNNNNNNNNNNNNNNNNNNNNNNNNNNNNNNNNNNNNNNNNNNNNNNNNNNNNNNNNNNNNNNNNNNNNNNNNNNNNNNNNNNNNNNNNNNNNNNNNNNNNNNNNNNNNNNNNNNNNNNNNNNNNNNNNNNNNNNNNNNNNNNNNNNNNNNNNNNNNNNNNNNNNNNNNNNNNNNNNNNNNNNNNNNNNNNNNNNNNNNNNNNNNNNNNNNNNNNNNNNNNNNNNNNNNNNNNNNNNNNNNNNNNNNNNNNNNNNNNNNNNNNNNNNNNNNNNNNNNNNNNNNNNNNNNNNNNNNNNNGGCGGAAGAGAUAAAGGGUUUAGUAAUGACCUUUUGUUGUAGAUCGGUAUGGGUUUCGAGGGCAGGGAAAUUGGGGGAAUAAUCUUGUGAGGUGGAUGAGAACAUCAUACAAGCCAUAGGCUGCAUGGGUAAUGUGGACGACUGAGGAUGGGGAAGGAUUUCAAUUUUGCAAUUUUUGGCAAUCCAUCUCUGUUCUUUUCGGUAGAUGGGUAAUGGAGCUGGUGGUGGUGGAGGAUUAUAAGAUGGUUUAGGUUGGUUGUGUGAGCACGGAGUUUUAGGUAUUUUCUUUUUUGGUUUCUUUUUCCACUGCAAGCCAACAUCAUCUUCUUCCCAAUCAUCCCAACAGGGACAAUCUGGGUCACAAUUUCCUGAUCCUGGUGAAUCCCAAAGAAAGUCGCCAUUAAGUUUGGCAGGAUAGACAGGAUAUCCUUUUGAAGUGAAUCUUGUAAUUGGCAACUUUUCUUGAGCGGUCUAGACAACCGUUACCAUGGCAGAACAAGUGAAUGAGAGCCGUGAAGGCUCCUCUGGUGCUGUUGGUGGAGGUCAAAAAGUCAGUCGGACAAUUCCAUCAGAUCUUCUUUCAAACAUACUUUCUGUGGUCUGGAUAGGAGAAGUAUUUGGCGUGGAACUUUUCUUUCUCAAAAUGGUAUGAUAAAAGUUUGCUUUUUGUUUUCUUUUCGUUAGAGUCUUCCACGACAGAGAGAAUUUCAUACUCAUGGCAUCCACUUCCUCCAACAAUGCUUCUACGUCUUCUAUCAUAACUCCAGUUUCUUUUUCCUCCACCCUCUCCUUACCCAAAUCUUGCUCCAAACACACUGCUAGUAAGAUCGAAAAUUUAGUUGAAUAUUCCUAUAUCCCUAAAUCUGCUUAGAUCACUGAAUAUUCUUUUCCUCUUCUUAGUCCGUAUCACCUCUAUAAACAAUCACACUCCUUUAUUCGCAGUAUUCGAACCCUUAUUUCCACCAAAAGACCACAUCCAAAAGAAUACAUCCAGUCAUCCAGAUUGGAUCAGUGUUCCCUUCAGGCUACCACAGCUGAACAAUAUGUCACUUUGGAAAUUCCCCCAGACUUGAUUUCCAAUUGGCAAAGAGAAAGUUAUACUCAUCUCCAUAUCGGAGGAGUCCAACUAAUCCUAACCUUACAUGGAAGGAAAGGAUUACCAGUCACGGCCAGAAUUGCCAUGCUAGACACUAGGUUCACACAUUACCAAGAUGCUGUUAUUGGUACUGUCUUAACCACUCUUCAUGCUGGAAGGGUUUUACUCACUUUCUAUCCUAAUUUCAACCUUUCUCUUCAAGACCCUAAUCUCUCCACUGCCUUGCAAGUCCAAGUACAAAUUCAAGGUGCAGACCAAGUCUCUUCUGUAAAAAUUGCCACUCUUCACCAUUAAUUGGCCUAUAGGCUCCAGAACCAUGCCUUAGAUCUUCCUUCGCCUAAGCACCACUCUGACGCCCUCAUAGUGUUAGCAGAAUCAGACCAGAUCCUAACCAUCAUUCAAAUUCCAAGACAGAUCCCUCAACAUGAACUCAUAAAACUCAUGCCCUUGGAAUAGAUUUCAAAUUAUGAGAAGUUCCACGCCAAUACUUCUCUUAUCCAGACCAUAGAAAGUAUGUUUGAAAGAAGAUCUGAUGGAACUGUUCGAAUGACUUUUCGACCUCCACCAACAGCACCAGAAGUGCCUCCACGGUUCUCAUUCACUUAUUCCGCCAUGGUAACGGCUGUCCAGACCACUCAAGAAAAGUUGCCAAUUAUAGGAUUCACUUCAAAAGGAUAUCCUGUCUAUCCUGCCAAACUUAAUGGUCACUUUCUUUGGGAUUUACCAGGAUCAGGAAAUUGUGACCCAGAUUGUCCCUGUUGGGAUGAUUGGGAAGAAGAUGAUGUUGGCUUGCAGUGGAAAAGGAAACCAAAAAAGAAAAUACCUAAAACUCCGUGCUCACACAACCAACCUAAACCAUCUCAUAAUCCUCCACCACCACCAGCUCCAUUACCCAUCUACUAAAAAGAAUUGAGAUGGAUUGCCAAAAAUUGCAAAACUGAAAUCCUUCCCCAUCCUCAGCCGUCCACAUUACCCAUGUAGCCUAUGGCUUGUAUGAUGUUCUCAUCGACCUCACAAGAUUAUUCCUCCAAUUUCCUUGCCCUCGAAACCCAUACCAAUCUACAACAAAAGGUCAUCACUAAACCCUUUAUCCCUUCCGCCAUCACUCCUACAGGUCAUUUAGAAGACCCCAAACCUUUCGAAGCCGUUCUCAACUGGCAAACAUAAAAUGCCAGAGCUCAAAAUGAAGCCUUAGUUGAUAUCCAUAAGAAGGUUAAUCAUAUUAGUUUACGAACUGAUCAUAUUGACUCUAAGAUGGAUUCUGAAAAAUUAGUUUACGAACUGAUCAUAUUGACUCUAAGAUGGAUUAUGAAAAAUUAGUUUACGAACUGAUCAUAUUGAUCCCUUGAAUCUUCCAUCUCAUCUAGUGAUUCUGAAAAAUCCUAUGCUGAUAUCACUAGGAUUCUUAUGGCCCANNNNNNNNNNNNNNNNNNNNNNNNNNNNNNNNNNNNNNNNNNNNNNNNNNNNNNNNNNNNNNNNNNNNNNNNNNNNNNNNNNNNNNNNNNNNNNNNNNNNNNNNNNNNNNNNNNNNNNNNNNNNNNNNNNNNNNNNNNNNNNNNNNNNNNNNNNNNNNNNNNNNNNNNNNNNNNNNNNNNNNNNNNNNNNNNNNNNNNNNNNNNNNNNNNNNNNNNNNNNNNNNNNNNNNNNNNNNNNNNNNNNNNNNNNNNNNNNNNNNNNNNNNNNNNNNNNNNNNNNNNNNNNNNNNNNNNNNNNNNNNNNNNNNNNNNNNNNNNNNNNNNNNNNNNNNNNNNNNNNNNNNNNNNNNNNNNNNNNNNNNNNNNNNNNNNNNNNNNNNNNNNNNNNNNNNNNNNNNNNNNNNNNNNNNNNNNNNNNNNNNNNNNNNNNNNNNNNNNNNNNNNNNNNNNNNNNNNNNNNNNNNNNNNNNNNNNNNNNNNNNNNNNNNNNNNNNNNNNNNNNNNNNNNNNNNNNNNNNNNNNNNNNNNNNNNNNNNNNNNNNNNNNNNNNNNNNNNNNNNNNNNNNNNNNNNNNNNNNNNNNNNNNNNNNNNNNNNNNNNNNNNNNNNNNNNNNNNNNNNNNNNNNNNNNNNNNNNNNNNNNNNNNNNNNNNNNNNNNNNNNCAAAGAUUGCCCUAACAAAAAAAGACAAAGCAAUCAGACUUCUUGAGCAUUUCCAGGCCACUACUGAUUAUUCUCCUCACAAUGAUGAAAUUAAGUCUUACUUCUUAGAACAAGAGAAGCCUACUGAUGAAACAGUGUUUGCACUACAAAACUCAUCCGAUGAUUCUGAAAAUGAUGAGUUUCAGACUGUUUUCCACCAACAACUAUUGUCCUUUGACACUACCAUCCCUAUCCCUUCCAUUAAACUCCACAUUUUACCCUCCAAAUUCCAGAGACCGAUUCCUGCCAUUGGUCUUCUUGAUGCAGGGGCCCAACGAAGUAUGUUAAAUCCCGACAUACUUCCAUCUCAGUCUUGGCAACAUUAUGAAGAAAAUUUCAAAGCAAUCAAUGGAAAACUCUUCACCACCACCUUGAUUACCAGAAAACCCAUUGGUAUUCAAAUCUUUCCAAAUUGUGUUAACUAGACGAAAGUCAUUGGUUCCCAUCUGCCUAAUAAGGAUAUCUUGUUAGGAUUGAUAUCAUUCACUAGAUAAAACACCUUCAAAUCAUUCCUAUUGGAAUUCGAGUUAAGUCCAUGUUUAAAUCAUUCACCAAUGUCCUAAAGCUUUAUGGUUUGUCUGAAACCUCCCAGCCUUUCCAAGACAUUUCCACAAGGUUUUUAAAGUUUUGUCCCGAGUCUCAUGUUGACUUUCACCAUCCCAAUCCCCUGUGGAAAAAUCCACAAUUCUUUGUUCAAUUGCCUUUCAAGUUGAAUGAAGAUGUCAAUUCCACCAAAGCCACUCAUCCAGGAAUGAGUCCUUCUGACCUAGUCCUAGCCCAAAAGGAAUGUUCUCAGCUACUAGCCCAAGGUCUUAUAGAACCCACUAGUUCUCAAUGGGCUUGCCAAGCUUUUUAUGUUGAAAAACAUUCUGAGAUUGUUUGAGGAAAAAAACGAUUAGUCAUAGACUAUUAGCCUCUAAACAUGUUUUUGCAAGAUGACAAAUUCCCUUUGCCAAAAAGAAAGAGCAUGUUCACUUUAUCUCAAAAAUGCCCAAAUCUUUUUCAAAUUUGAUCUUAAAUCUGGAUUCUAGCAACUUGGCGUUAAACCUUCCGAACGUUAUAAAACUGCCUUCUGCAUCCCUAAUGCCCAUUACCAAUGGAUAGUUUUACCCUUUGGUCUUAAAACAGCCCCAUCUAUUUUCUAAAAAUCCAUGGUCCAAAUCUUCCAACCCAUUUUGCAUAGUGCAUUGAUUUACAUUGACAAUAUUUUGUUAUUUUCAGGUACCCCAGAUGACCAUCGCCAUUUGUUAAAUCAAUUCUUUGAUAUCAUUCAAUUUCAUGGAAUCAUGUUAUCCACUAAGAAAAGCACAAUUGCCACCCAUACCAUUGAAUUCCUUGGAAUGACCAUCAAAGACGGCCACUACCAGCUAGGAAGCACAUUGCCCAAGAGCUCAUUCACUUUCCAGAUCAAUAUCUUUCCAAAAGGCAACUACAGCAAUUCCUUGGUAUUAUCAAUUAUAUCAGGGACUUUAUUCCUCAUGUUGAUCACCAAACCCGCCAGCUGUCAGCCCUGCUGAAAAAGAAUCCACCUUCGUGGAACAACAACGACACACUUGCUUUCACAACUUUAAAGCAAAUUGCGCAAAAUCCACCCCCAUUAAAGCUCAUCACCAAUGGCAAGUGAAUAUUGCAGACUGAUGCAAGUGACGAAUCAUGGGGGGCCAUCCUCCUUGAAGAAAUAGAUGGCAAGGAACACCUUAUUGCCCAUGCCAGUGGACACUUCUCUGACACACAAAUCCAUUACCACAGUGUGUUCAAAGAAAUUUUAGCUGUCAAGCAUGGUAUUCAAAAGUUCGAGUAUCAUCUUACCGGCUAUCACUUUCUUGUUAGAAUGGACAACUCAGCUUUUCCCAACAUCAUGAACUUCAAAAGGAAAAAUGUCCCCGAAAAGAUGUUGCUCAAAUUAAAAGAUUGGUUUUCAAAAUAUGAUUUCUCCAUGAAGCAUAUAAAAGGAGACCACAACCUUAUUCUUGAUAUGCUCUCAAGACUUGAUAAACCAGAAAAAUCCUUGUUUUUCAUAUCCUCAGCUUCCCAUUUUCCUGUUAUUUUCAUGGCCACUUCACUUCCCUCACAAGCCCUUACCAAAAAACCCUUUCCCCUUGGAAAAACUUUCACCACAGUCUUUGCCAUCCAAGAGUUAGCCAAAAAAGUUGUUUUUCGGUUUUUUAUGAAAGCCUAUCUCUUAUCUGACUCAUUUCCAUUUUCAACCUUUCAUCCCGAAAACUUAUUUCUUACCGGUCUAACCCUAGAUCCUUCUUGAGAAAUUUCAGAAGACGAAUUAUGGUACAUUUGGUGCCUUACCGUCCUCUAUGCCACCUUAGAACAUUUGCAUAAUCCCAACAGUUCAACCUCCCUCCUCUGGACACUCCUUGAAUGGUUUUCUCCAAUUCCAUGGUGGCGACAGAAACUCCACCAAUUGUCUCAAGUUCUUAAUCUGGAACGUAUGCCAUCAUCCGAAGCAAAAAUGUGGACGUCUGUGUUCAUUAUCCAUCGACCAUACUUCCAACACCCUGACACCAACUUCUUUUGGACUCAAGACCAAGUUUUUGAAUGGUUCACCACACUUCAUCCAUCCAUCCUUGAACAAGACGAUAGAGUCCAAAAAGAACUCUAUAACUUCCUUUGUGAACUGAACCAUCAACCUGCUCCACACAGAGACAUUUCUCACACCUCCCUAGGUUCACAACAUGAUAUCAUCAUGAUUCCCACUCCUUCAGCAAUUUCAAAGCCUAAAUCUACGGGAAUUAUCAUCAAGGAAGAAAAACCAGACUUCACUGAUUUUCUCUACCAAGAUGCACAAGACCCUUGGGAAGCAUUUUUACCCCUAAGUCAACAUCUUCAAAACCUCCAACCUACACCACCGGCACCUGCCUUGGAUGAUUCAACAAAUAAAGCCAGUUCUAGCACACCAACUAGAUCCACGGAACACCCGUCUUCCUCUUGGCGCAAAAUAUUUUGCCCUUGGCCACCUUGUCGCCCAGAUCAUCAACAUCCACUAGAAACUCCACGUCCAUCACUCAACGUUUUCUUUUCAAAAGAUAAAGAUGCGACCGACAACUCAUCAGAUGAAGAUUACAUGAAUCUCUCAUCUCUGUGAUUCAUGCACUUUGGCAUUAUUUGCUUUUUCAAAGUUGGGUUGUAAUAAUUAAAAGCAUGAGUCAUGUUUGUCAUGCUUUAGUUUGUCUUUAUUUGCUUUUUCAAAGUUGCCUUGUAAUAAUUAAAAGCAUGAGUCAUGUUUGUCAUGCUUUAGUUUGUCUUUAUUGCUUGUCGUUUGUCAAUGUGUCUUGUAAAGUGAUAGGGGCCCUGUCCUAUCCUUUUCUAUAUAAGCUCAUCUUCUCCUCGUUGGAAGGGGAGCGCAACAUUAAUAAAAUCUUUAGCCUUCUAUAAUCAUGAGUUUCUAAAUUUUCUUUUCUCUCUGUUAAUGAAGCUCUAAUCGAUUUAAAAAUAAGACAAAAACUUACAUCUGUUCAUUUUGAAACUAAAGGAAGUAUGCUCUGCACUUGCCCUCUAGCAAGGAUCUUGUGCAUCAGAAAACUUUUGAUAAUUUCUUAUCUGGUUUGGUACCCUGUUUUAGACUAAAGGAAAGUCUGUUUUGGGUUAUAUAACCUUAAAUGAAAAUGUUUUAUAGUUUUCUGUUCUCCACUUGAGUAUAUCAGCUAGAAACCCAAUUUAGGACAUAAUUUUAAAACUAAGCAUUCUAUUCCAAUGAUUAGUACUCAUCUUCUAAGCUUGGAGAAACAUGCUGCAGGGGUUUACAAUCAAAAGUUAUUUUACAAGGUUCGUAAACAGAUUUACAAAGAAGUCCGGUUUAUAUUGUUGAGCAAUGUCACUCUUCUAGAUAUUCAAGUGUACACAUUAACUAGGCAUCUAGAAGCCAAAAAGAAGUGGAUUGUGGUUUAUUAUCUAAAAGAACAACAUUUUGAGUGCUCCUAUAAGAAGUUUGAAUCUACUGGAAUACUGAUGAGAACCAUCAAGGGACCAUUAAAACUUCAAGUGAUCCUUUGCACAUUCAUGGAGGCCCAAUUACAAGAGCAAGAGCCAAAAAGAUGCAAGCUGCUUUAAAUGGAUUAAUUGAGAAAAUAUGGAUUGAAAAUGUAAUUCAAGAUGCAAGACAUCAUGAAUUGGGCUUGAAGAGAAGACAAGGCAUUGUGGGCAUUAUUCAAGUCAUUGGGCAGCCAAAUACACAAGUUGUAUCAAAUGCAGAAAGGUCAAAUUCGGAAUAAAAACUGUAUUGAUUGACCCAGAAUUAAAAUGCAAGCUAUAUACCGUUGGAAAGAUAAUUAAGUUAGCAUUCCAAUAAAUUUUACAGAGCUGGAUUUCGAGUUCUCUAGAAAGAGUUAUGACCAAUUCUUUACAGCUUGUUCAGACUUGGGAUUUUCAACGAAUCCUUUGUUUUUCAACUUAUUUGUUUGUUUUGUUUCAAGCUUGUCAAUGUGUAAGGUAAGUCUACCAUCAAUGAUGGUGGGCUAACAUUAAGUUUGUCAAUGAUAGCAUUAAUUAUAGUAGGCUAGCAUUAAGUUUGUCAAAGAUAGCAUUGAUCAUGGUGGGUUGGUGAAGACUUUUGAAACAUCUUUUGACAAACUUACUUGGAGGGUUGUUCCAAUGUUUCCAUUUGUAUUUUUAGGAUCUUGGGUUCCUUUUAGCCUAUUUAAAUUCAGCAACCUUGGUAUGUAAGGAGAUUAAUGUUAUUUUGAAUUUGAAAGAUUAUUCUUUCUUUGGUUCUUUUGAGAACUAGUGAACUUAUCAAGAAUUUACAUUCUUGUGGUGUUCCAAAUUUAGACUUAUCACUCACCUUCUCAUCUUUUUCUUGAGUGUGGCGUCAAUACCCUUCUCUAUACCUUUGGUUCAUGUUUUCUUAAGCAUUGGGUCAAGGUUUUUGUUUGCCAUAAAUCUAUUUAGAACUUUCUUGGGAAGUUGAAACUACAAAUUAAGUGUAGGAUUGAAAGUUUCAUUGUGGGAUUCGUAUCAAAUACCAUGCCCUCACUUAUUUUGUGUGAUGAAACAUAUGCAUGCUAGUGAGAUACCUACUUCAUUGAUUAACAAAAGAUGGACUAUGGAUGUGAAAGUUUACAAACAAUCUCUAAUGCCAUUGGAAAUUCAAUCUAAGGAUGUUCUUAACAGUUUUCAGUAUGGGUCAUUAAAUGCCGAAUUCAAUGAAAUUAGUUUUUAUGCCUGAAAAUAUGAUGCUACAUAUUGGAAAUUAAAAAGUCAUCUUGCUCAGCUGAAGAGUGAGAUAAAGGAGUUGAGAACAUGUGACAACGGAGAUACAGAUAGACCAUGCAGUGCAGAAAAGAAAGCAAGAAUUGUAAAAGAUCCUCUAGUUGUGAAGACAAAGGGUGCAUCCAGUACGAAAUUUAACAAAGGUGUUAACACAAGAAAAUGUGGAUGUUGCAAACAAGAUGGACAUACUAUACGGAAAUGCCCAAGUAAGAACGACCAUGUUCCACACUUCGCUGGACCAUUAAACAGCUUCACAAAAUUUAUUUGGUAUGGGAAAAUGAGUCAUUAUUUCUAUAAUUUUUUUUUAGUCCAAAUCAUUGUAUUGUAUUAAUAAUUUUAUUGAAAUUUUCUGCAUAUUGUAUCCCAAGGAGGCUACCUCACUUACGUCAAUGCACACAAAAUUAUCCUAAAAUAAUCUGCAUAUGCUUGAGGGUGUGGAUUUGGACAAGCUAUUUGCAUUUUAUUAGACACAAUUUUGACCAAGUAUUUUUUUAGACUAUAGUUAUGGCCAUGUGAUGUAGUCUUAUAUUUUAAUGCAUUAUUAUAAUAAUAAUGAAUACUACACCUCUCAUGAACCUGUUACUUUCGCCUACUUUGAUGACAAUGAAAUAUGAAAGGAACCUUAUUUCCUAAGAAUUUGCUACGUGCAUCAAUUAGGUAUCCUAGGACGUUUAUACAUCACUAAUAAACUAGUAAACCAUACCAUAGUUGCAAUGUAAUAUUCUUUCUUACCUUGCUGAUUAGAAACUUCAGCGGCCAAAUGCCAACUACAUCAACUUUUGCUUCCCUAUAGCUAAGUGAAAUUCUUAUAGUUCCUAAAUCCAAAAUACAAGAGAAAUCAGUGCUGAUGUUUUUUAUCUUGAAAUUCCUUUGAAACUGAGGCCCAAAGAGAAGCUAGAAACAAAGCUCUAACCCACAUACAUUCUCUCUUUGCUAUAGGAGGUCAAAUCUUGAUCCUAUACCAACAGCCACGUGUUUACCCCAGGAGCAAGCAGCUACCACACUUGAUAAGUUAUCAAUAUGACAUUUCUCAGCGGCUUUCUCAAAACACUUUCGAGGUGUCUGCACAACCAUGAUACAAGAAGAGAAUUUGGGCCUAUUCAUCAUCCAAGUUUUCUUUUGUGAGAAUUUACGCAUAAGAAAAAGAGAAAGAAGAGUUUCCUUGAUAUCUGAACUGCUUGUUCAAAAGCACGAGAAACCCCCAGUAGUUCCUGAACUUGUUUAAUUGCAUAGGGUACAGAACGCCUGGUGUCAAUUAAAUGAAAUACAGGAAGACAAGAAUCAAGGACAGUCCUCCAGGCGUCCUCACUUUGUUUAACUAUUGAUUUCUCAAGAACCACUUCCAGGGCCAAUUCCUAAGCUCCUCUGUAAGAAAAUAAAUUAAGCCUAGAGAUCGAUCUUAAUCAGUUAAAGAUGAUCUGAAUAGCUGCAGAAUCAUUUAAGAUAUACUACAACUGUUUUUUUCUAGUAGUAAAGGAUGUGUCUGUCCAAAAGCAGUGCUACUUGUCUAAGGGUGUUGGGUUAGUUAACUCAAUUUACUCCUUUUUGGUCACAUAACAUCAAUAAUUUGAGCAUCUUGCCAAGGCAGAGAUAAUAAAUUAAAACAUCAAUCUCAUAUUUAAUAAUAAUUAUAGGACUUCAGAACCCUCUAAGCAGAGAUAUGCAAAGGCAGAAUUAAAUGUCUAUCUAACCCAUUGAACACAGAAAAUGCAGUAAAGCACAUGCACAUAGAAGAGAAGCAUGGCAUUGAUAUGCAAUAUAAAGCUCCACCCCCUCUUACCUUAUAAUACUACGGAAACAUAAUAAUUGCCAAAAGCGAUUGAACUGCACAGCAGAUUAGUUCCACCCCUUAGUUUAUCUUAAACAACAACAAUAAUAUUUGUCAUAACUCUCACCAAUAUUCAUUCUUUUCACAAAUACAAUCACCUAAAAAUCAUCAGCCCAGCAAAUUGCAAGAUCAAUCAGUAAUCAGAUAUAAACUUUUAAGAAAAUAUAAAACCUCAACGACAAUGACAAUUUACCAGUCUCCUCAUCAAGCCUGGACGGCAGGCCCUAGCACCACAAGGCAGUCCCUCACUGCAUCUUAUAACAGGUAUUCUGCUCAAUCACAGGCUUGCCACUAAAAUCCCCCUUCAACCUUAGAUUAAAAUGCAAAAUUCUUAGUGGCUCUUCCCCUUCCAUUGUUUUCAACCCUCGCAGCUCCAUCAUGAACUGAGAAACCAUAGCUUCUUACCCAUCAUUCAAAACUUCCUCCCCACUUCAUAAGCUGUUUUAGCCACAUUGUUCUUACUAUAAAUUAUAUGCAGAACUAGAGCAGAAGAGUAAAUUAGACACAAGCUGAUCCUCCAAGUAGUUCAACACAUCAGCAAAAAUUGACUAAGUCUGUAAUAUAUGCAAGUUGUCAAUUAUGUAUUUCCUUUCAGAAAGAUAAGUUUCAACUAAGCAAAUACUUCAUCCAGCUUAGAAGCCACAUGAUCAGUAUCUCCGACCCUUACUAGAAGCGAAAGAGUGAGAAAAGUAAGGGGGCAGAAAAAUGGCAGAAACCCUCAGCUACUUGCUUGCAAAUAUUAGGACCAGAUCUUACAUUGUCCAAAUAUCACAACUAAAUGCAUAGGGGAAAAAUAAAAAGUAAAGAGAACUGAUAUAAGAAUAUACAACCCACUUAAUUAUGGUUCUAAAUAAGUUCCAUAAAUCAAUUUGUGGAGUUCCCACAUUAUAAUAAUGUACAUGGUUGGUGAUACGGAAUUGAUCAUGCAACUGUACAUGUGAAUGUAAACACAGCUUACCAACACUAUUCAGAACAAGAGCUACAAACACAGCUGGUUCUAAGCCUGCAUGGAAGUAAAACAACAUCUUAACACUGUUUGCAUGACGGAUAGACAAAUCCAAUCUAGCAAAAUUUUCAUCUUCAACUUCAGUGUUAGAAAGAAGAAUGAGAGAGAUUCAUCAUUAUAAGCAGCCUUGUACAAAUAUAUCUGAAAUACAAGUGUGCAACCCAAGAGGGGGGGGGUGAAUUGGGAUUCUAAAAAUUAUUUGAUUCUAAAACAAAUUAUCAUGCAAAUCUAAAAUGAAUUUAAUGGAAUAACAAUUAAAUCAAUUACAAUAUAAAAAGAUAAGGGAAGAGAGAUUCGCCUACGUCCACGCCUCCAAGCUUUCCGGGCUUGAGGAUUUCACUAAGCAAGCCUCCAAGGCUUCAAAUGCUUACACUUGACUUCCAAGAAGAGAUUAUCCCAAAUCUCUUAACCCAAGUGUAUCCCAACACUUACAAUCACUCAAAGUAAAAGAUUAAAAAUUGUUUUUCUCUCACACAAUAUUUAAGAUUACAAAUCAAUGCCCAAUGUGUGAAUAGAUAAAGCAAGAAUGUGUUUUAAAACUCUAUGAAGAUUGUAUUCUCGAAUAUAAGCUCAAUGGUCGUGUUUUGAUCAAUCUUGUUUGAAUUUGAAUGAGCUUAUUUAUAGUAGGAGCCGAAAAACUAGCCGUUAUAGACUGUCUGCUCGAAAACGGUUCACCGUUAACCAUUAACGGUUAACCAUUUAGGCUGGUCAAAGUUACCGUUGAGUCAAUUUUCAAAUAAAUGAUUUGCCGUUUAGGAUUACCCUUUCACCGUUAAAUUUCAGAGACCUGCAAGAUAAACAUCAGUUAUCCGUUUACAUUAAACGGUUAAGGAUUUGCAUGAAAUAAGCUCUCUGGAAUUUAUCGGUUAGCCGUUUGUAAUAAAACAGUUCGCCGUUUGUUUCCAGUAACCUGUAGAACAAGUUAGCCUUAUCUGUUUCAGUUAAGCCUUUACCGUUUGUUUCUAGUAACAAGAUGAACAUAGAUUUUCACUUUGGAUUUUAUCGGUUAACUGUUUCAAUAAACGGUUCAAGGUUUUAAUUUCAGUAGCCUUCCCAACAUAUUGUGUUUUUUCGUUUUUGUUAAUCGGUUAGAGCUUAAGCAAUUCGUUACUCUUUGGUUUUAAUUGGUUAACCGUUAAAAAUAAACGGUGAACCGUUUAUUUUUAGAAUCAUAGUGUUAGCCAGAUAUUGCAGAGAAUCAUUUUCCAAUUUCAAGUUUUAACAGUUAUCCAACUUUUAUGAAUAUAAUUGGAAUGAUUAUAAGGCUUUCGUUUAUUAAUGAAUAGCUCCAACAUUUUAAUCAAUAAACAUUUAAAAUUUGUUAUCAUCAAAAUCAAUAUUAUGAACAUAUACAUGUUAACAUUCUCCCCCUUUUUGAUGAUGACAAACUUCAUUCAAUAUUUUGCUCCCCCUUAAUAUAUUCUCCCCCUAAAUGUAUGGCCAAUUUUUAAAAAAUGUUCAAUAAACAUAUUUUUGCUCAAGGAAACAUUUUGACAAAGAAUUCAUUUCAAAAACCGUUUUAAAAGCAAAAUGCAUUUCAAAAGUGAAUUUUAUUUUUAUUUCACUAUUCGUUAUCUCCCCCUUUAUCAAUAUAUACAAAAUACAGGAGCAUAACAUAAUCUCUCCCCCUUCAUCAUCAAAAAGAAAGAAGAGAAAAGAAAUCCGUAAAGCAUAGAUGUGAGAAAGAAGUUACCCAGUUUUGGCGAGCAAAAAAAAGAUUGGCAGAGUUUCCCCUUAAAAUGGAACAAAUCCACUAAUACAAAAUGAGAUUAAAAAACACUUCCAAAUAUAUUAAUAAUAGCUCUAGCAUCCAACAUACUAACAACUCCAGCAGCCAAUAUCAAAUCAUCCAACAUCAAGAACAUCACAAAAACAAUCCAUCAGCAAAAUCAUAGAGAAGUAGCAAUUUAUGAUCAAAAUAUAAAUAACAACACAAACAAACAAAAUAUGAAAUGUAUGUGCUAAGAUAAGACUCAGAAACUAUAGGGGUGGUGAAGAUGUGCUCCCCGGAUCAUAACCGAAAUAACGAAGAAGAGUACGCUGUCCAGCUAUAAGCUCAAGCUGCUGAUCAAUGCUCUGCUGUUGAAAGGUCUGAAACUCAGAACGAAGCUGCUGAUGGUCGCGGGAAAAGGUGUCCAAAUGAUCGAGAAUCAGCUGCUGCCUCUUCGAAAUCCUGCGAACAUGGUCCACCAACUGCUGCAAGGCAACCGAAGCAGGGGGCUGAAUUGAAGCAGGAGGCUGCUCGAGAGCUGGAGGUGGCUCAAAAAUGGAGGGCUGCUCGGGAACAGCAGAUGGCUCGGGAGCAGAAGGCUGUGCUGGAGCUGGAGGUGGCAUCAAAGUGAAUGGAAUAUCAGCAUCCAUCUCACGCUCCUCAGAGUCAGAGUCAGCUGGAGGCUGGGGGACAGAACAGCAACGCAGAGGAGGUGGAUGAGCUCCUAACCGAAAAUCUGGAAGCUAAUCAAGAGGAUUGACAUCGUUGAGCAUCCGAUCGUCCUCUGGAGCAAUCAAGGUAUCCCGGUUUUUGGAGUUUUUAGUCUUUAUCCAUUGGCUGUUUUUUCUAGAAAAACUGAUACUCAUCUUCAGAGAUGGUAAGGCUUAGAACAAUGGUGAAGCCAGUGAGGAACAAGUGUUCUAAACAUAGAGAAGGAAACAUGUCGGGUUUUGUUUUGUGAACAUUCAUGAAAUACCUGUAAAGGAAUUUCUUUGUAAAAGUCUGGAUUUGGAAAGCUAUUCGGAAAGUGAGGUUUAGAGGAAAAGCUUUUUGGGUAAGAGCUUUGAAGGGGAGUGUGAUCGAUACAUGGCUAUAAUUGGGAUGGUUUGGAUUGAAGAGAUGAGAACAUGGCUUUUUAUAGAUGGUCAGGUGAUGAAAUCAGGGAUAAGAUUUUUAUCACCGUUGAUGUGUUGGACUGUGUAGUCAUACUUUGCAAAGCAUGUCUUUAAGUUGAGCAAUUGCUUGUCAGGAAGCAAUUUGUUCUUGAAGUCAAAGAUCUUUGGAAAAGAACUGUUGUCCAUUCUGAUGAGGAAAUUAUGGCUGAUGAGAUGAAAUUCAAAUUUCUUGAUUCCAUAUUUUACUGCAAUAAUUUCCUUGUAAAUCACGUGAUAAUUCUUUUCUGAAUCUUUGAACUGUCCACUUGCAUGAGAGCAAUAGGACUUUGACUCACCGAUUUUUUCUAGGAGGAUAGCACUCCAAAAGUCAUCACUAGCAUCUGUCUAGAGAAUGCGUUGGCUGGUAGUGGGAAUUUUGAAUGGAGGAAGGUGACUGGGCUAUCUUUUUAAGCUGUUUUACAGCUUCUGUUUGAUCUAGACCCCAUAGUGGAGCCGUCUUUUUGAGCAUGCAUGAUAGAUGACUAGUAUGGACCGCAACUUUGGGAAUAAAGUCUCUGACAUAAUUAACAAUUCCAAGGAACUGUUGAAUUUGUCUUUUGGUAAAAUCAAUGUUUGGAAACUUUAAUAAUUCUGCUGCAAUGUGUGGUCCAGGAUGGUAGUGACCAUCUUUUAAGACCAUGCCAAGAAAGUCAAUAGAUUCCUUUCCGAUGUUGCUUUUCUUUUCAAAAAGCAUGAUGCCAUGUGUCUGAACGAUUUCCAGGAAAUCUGAAAGGAGUUGUUGAUGUGUUUGGUGGUCAUGGGAAAACAACAGGAUGUCAUCAAUGUAGAUCAAAGCAUGAUGGAGGAUUGGAGAGAAGAUCUUAACCAUUGCUUUUUGAAAUAAUGAUGGAGCAACUUUGAGACCGAAAGGUAGAACUGUCCACUGAUAAUGAGCAUUAGGGAUACAAAAGGCUAUUUUGGGACGGUCUUCUGAAGAAAUACCAAGUUGCCAAAAACCAGCUUUAAGAUCGAACUUUGAAAAUACCUUUGCACCUUGAAGAUGAAUGAAUAGGGACUGGAUCUUUGGAAGAGGAAAUUUAUCAUCUUUAAGGAAAGCAUUAAGUGGUCGGUAAUCAAUAAAUAACCUCUUUUUUCCAUAAACUAAUUCAGAUUGUUUUUCAACAUAGAAAGCUUAACAAGCCCAAUUUGAAGUAGUGGGUUCGAUGAGACCUUACCGAAGCAAUUGUGUGCAUUCUUGCUUGGCGAGAGUGAGAUCAGAUGGAGGCAUCCCCGGAUGUGUGGCUUUUGUAGGAUUGACAUCUUCAUUGAGUUUGAAAGGAAGAUGGAUGAAAAACUGUGUAUUUUUCCAAAAUGGUGAUGGAUGAGUAAACUAAGAGAAAAUCAAGGAACUUUUGGGAAAUAGAGGUAUAGGGAGAAGCUAUAUCUGACAAUGUAUACAGACGGAGAACAUCUGUAUAAGGCAUAAACAUUUGUUUAAAUUUAAUGCCUGUUGGCAUAAUGAAGAGGUUUUUUACCAAUUAGAGGAUAUCAAAUCCGAUGAGGAGAUCUUUGUCUGGCAAAUUUGAACCAACAAUCUUUUGCCAAAUGAUACAAUUUGGAAAGAACUGGAUACUAAUGGGUUUUUUGGUUAUGAGAGAUGUUUAAAAAAAUUUUCCAUUUGCAGCUCUGAAGUAUUCAGUGUGGUUUUCCCAAUAAUCCAGAAGAAAGAUUCUAGGAUUGAGCAUACUACGUUGUGCGCCAGUAUCAAGGAAACCAAUGACUAAGACAGGUUUAUGGAAUUUAGAAGGGAUGACUGAAAUUUUUACUGAUGGACCAGUAAGUGUGGGACGAAUGUGGUUAAUCUCUUAAAUAGUGGAGAUCACAGAAAUGUCAUCUGCAUCUGAGUCUUGAAUUAGUAAGGAUGAAGGCUGUAUGUUCAUUUUUCUCUAACUGUUAUGAGAAAAUAGAUUCAACAUCUUCGUGGUCAGAAAGUAUAGAAGAUUGUUGUAAGUGCUGAAUGAGAUGAACAGCUUUGGCCGGCUUGUUCUGGCAAUUAAGGGCAAAAUGUCCACGCUUCUUGCAAAUAAAGCAGCGAUUGUAUUUCUUCUUUCUAAAUUAGGAAGGAUCCUUUUUCCUGAAGUAUCUGUAAGGCUUCUUUGGUUUUUUGGAAGAGGAUUUGUGGAAAUAUUUCUGGAAGUGCUUCUUUUUGUUGGUUGGACAAGUGCACUUUUUGUCAUCUUUGCAUUGGAUUUUGAGGUAGGGUUUUUUUACAAGCUGAGGCAAAGGGUUCUUUGUGUUCAAUAAGGUCCUUGAAGAAAUCUUUUUGCUCACAGAUCUUAUCAAGGCAUAGCAUGGUUAAUUGAAAGAUUUUUCCAAAGGAGACAUUUUGCUAUGUCGAGGUUAAAGGCUGUCAAUUGUCUUUGAGCUCUGGCUGAAGUUCUGGUGGUGAAGAUGCAGCAAAGACAUGCUUUAAGGAUGGAUCAUUGAAUCCAUUUAGUUUGUAAUAAAGCAUGCUCAUCCUUUUGUAAUGCAUUUCCAGGUGAUGUCGUUUAAGAGAACAACAUUUCAUCUGGUGAUAUUUUUUUCGAGAAGCUUCAGUUGAGGCUGCCGGUUCUCCAAUAAAUUGCUCAUAAAUGACUACAAGAGCUAUAGGAACGGUGGUUUGAAUCAAUUGGAGUUGUCUGUAUUCACCUAGACUUUCAAACCAAUCUCGUAGAGAUCCAAUGAAUCUGGAACAAAACUCUCGGAGAACACUUUGUGAUUGUACAUUAGGACUUGUCAUUUGCACAUCAAUCCAUGUAGCAAAUUCUUAAUGUUGAGCCUGCCAUUUGUGACGAGGAAUGUCAUCAAAUGUAAACCAUGGGGAAGAAGAUGCUUUAGAAGACAUUUCAAGAACUGAAGGGACAGAUGGAGCUGCACUAACGUCUUAUUCCAAGACGUUCAGGAUCCAUGGGAAGAUUUUUAGUCUCUUCUCCAUAUUGAAAAUCCCCAUUACACUGUCACAAACCCAGAACCUCCGACUACAUCAGCCCCAAAAGAAAUGAAUAAUGCUGAUGAAGAAGCUGCAAGUUGAAGGUUAUCUUGAUCACAGGCAAAUUCGUCGUGCCAAGUGCCAAUAUGAGAAAGAAAUUGGUGAUGUGUCUCCAUCAUACUACCCAUCCACUCCAUGAUUGCAGACACGCAUGGGAAUCUUUAGCUUUUGCUUUUUUAAAGUUUUCUUUAAUAAUUAGACAAGGGUCUUGUCUUGUCUAAAGUAUGUUUUCUACUUUUUCUAGUUUGGCGUAGGUGCUUUAAUAAUUAUGCUUUUGUAAAAGAUAAGGGACCCACCUUAUCUCUCGUUCCUCGAGAUCUCUAUAUAAGGAUCUCUCUAUCCCUUUGUAAGGCAGGAGUUAAUUUGAAAUAUAUUUUCAAGUUUUCUUUACAUCAUGUGUUUCUAAACUUCUUCUUUCUUUUAGGAAUCAAAGAAAUUAUUUGGGUUAAUAAUGAUACGCUCUCCUCUAAUUUUCUAAACUGAGUAUGCUCUGAACUUGCCUUAAGCCUAAGGAUCUUGUGCAUCAGAAAGGUCCUGUUUUAUCCUCCAAAACUGAUUUUUGUAAAAUAGAAUUGUUUUCUCACAACGUUCACCCACUUUGAAGGCCAUGAGUGCCGUGUUUUCGGGUGGUAUCGUGAAAAACUAUUUUUAAAUAUAAUUUUCAGAUUUGGUAUUUGACGGAUAAGUGUAUAUCGGCUAGAAACCAGAACUUGCGGGCUAUUGGCCCUAAGAACAGACUUUGUACUGUUAUAGAUCUGGUGUAACAAUGCCACGUACAACUUCCAACUUGGUAUCUCCUGUGCAUUCACAAUAAAUCCUAGAAACACAAGUUUGUUGGUGCAAAAAGUACACUUCUUUAGGUUAGCAAACAACUUUUCUUUUCUAAGCACAUCUAAAACAGAUUUCAAAUGUACUACAUGAUCGUUUAUGUUUUUGCUAUAAAUGAGGAUAUCAUCAAAAUAAACAACAACAAACUUGCCAAUAAAAGCUCACAAGACAUGAUUCAUAAGUCCCAUAAAAGUGCUCGGGGCAUUAGUUAGACCAAAAGGCAUGACUAACCAUUCAUACAAACCAUAUAUUGUUUUAAAAAAGCAGUUUUCCAUUCAUCUCCUUCUUUCAUUCUAAUAUGAUGAUAUCCACUUUCUAAAUCAAUUUUGGAAAAUACACAAGACCCAUGUAAUUCAUCAAGCAUGUCACCUAGCCUAGGAAUGGGAUGUCAUUACUUUACUGUUAUAUUGUUGAUGGCUCGAUAAUCAGCACACAUCCUCUAUGUCCCAUCCUUCUUAGGAACUAAUAAAAGGGGAACUGCACAUGGACUCAUGCUUUCUCUCACGUACCCUUUUUCCAUCAAUUCAUUAACUUGCCUUUGAAGUUCCUUGGUCUCCUCCGGAUUGCUCCUAUAGGCUGGUCUAUUUGGAAUGGCUACACUAAGCACAAAAUCAAUCUGAUGCUCAAUCCAUCGGAUUGGAGAUAAACCAUGUGGUGCUUCCUCAGGAAAGACAUCCUCAUACUCUUGCGAAAGAGAAGUAAUAGAACUAGGCAAAGUAGGGUCAAAUUUGUUAGUGUUAAAAAAUGCAUCUUUGUACAAAAGUACAAUCAUUGGCUGAUGUGAAAACAAUGCUUUUUUUUAUCUCACUCACUCUCGUAUAGAAAUUUUUUUGUUUUCCACCUGAUUUUUGCUCAAUGGCCAUAUUUUUCUUUGGUUUUUCUCUCACAUUUUCCUCAACCUUUUUCUAAAUUUCACUCUAUUUUUCUCUCUUUUUCUUUUGCUCACUCUCUCUCUGUAGGCUCACUUGAUCUCCAUAAACUUGCUUUGGUAUCAAUGGAACCAGAGUGAUGUUGCGUUGAUUAAAUACAAAUGAAUAUUUAUUGGUGAAGCCAUCAUGCUUCACAUGUCUGUCGAAUUGUCAAGGCCGCCCAAGUAACAAGUGUCUAGCCUGCAUGGGUACUACAUCACAAAGCACCUUAUCUUCAUACUUGCCAAUCUGAAAAGUCACUAAUACCUGCUUGUUCACUUUCACCUCACCACUGUCAUUUAACUAUUGUAGUUUGAGUGUAGGAAGCCCUAACUUCCCUACCAUGAUAGUACUAGCAAUAUUAGUACAACUUCCUCCAUCAAUAAUCAUACUGCAUACUUUGUCUUGAGCAUAGCACCUAGUGUGGAAAAUGUUUUCCUAUUGCACCGCUUCGUCUUCUUUCACUUGUACACUCAAAGCUCUCCUCACAACUAAAGUCAAUUCCCCUGGGGCUAUAUACUCUUCAUCUUCAACAUCCUCUAAUGGUGGCAUCUCAUUUUCUUCUGUUUCAUCUUCAGUUACAAUCUCACCAUAACAAAAGGUUGUUAAAAUGUUGUAUCUAAAAAAUAACGGUGAACGGUUUAUUGAAAAUGGCUAACCUAUAAUUUCUAGAGAUGAAUUGGAUUGUAACUAUGAACUAUUUAGCACAAAUGGUUAGCCAAAUUUGUUUUGCAAGUUUCUAUUUAAAAAUCUAAGCAUAAUAGUCAUUGUUAAUGGCGAUCUGAUUUUUCUCAGAAAGUUAACAAUGACUGGUUUUCAGCUUUACCUAUAAAAUGGCUCAAUCAAAUUCAAACAUAGAGCGAUCCUGAUGAGAACCAUCAAGGGACCAUUAAAACUUCAAGUGAUCCUUUGCACAUUCAUGGAGGCCCAAUUACAAGAGCAAGAGCCAAAAAGAUGCAAGCUGCUUUAAAUGGAUUAAUUGAGAAAAUAUGGAUUGAAAAUGCAAUUCAAGAUGCAAGACAUCAUGAAUUGGGCUUGAAGAGAAGACAAGGCAUUGUGGGCAUUAUUCAAGUCAUUGGGCAGCCAAAUACACAAGUUGUAUCAAAUGCAGAAAGGUCAAAUUCGGAAUAAAAACUGUAUUGAUUGACCCAGAAUUAAAAUGCAAGCUAUAUACCGUUGGAAAGAUAAUUACGUUAGCUUUCCAAUAAAUUUUACAGAGCUGGAUUUGGAGUUCUCUAGAAGGAGUUAUGACCAAUUCUUUACAGCUUGUUCAGACUUGGGAUUUUCAACGAAUCCUUUGUUUUUCAACUUAUUUGUUUGUUUUGUUUCAAGUUUGUCAAUGAUAGCAUUAAUUAUAGUAGGCUAGCAUUAAGUUUGUCAAAGAUAGCAUUGAUCAUGGUGGGUUGGUGAAGACUUUUGAAACAUCUUUUGACAAACUUACUUGGAGGGUUGUUCCAAUGUUUCCAUUUGUAUUUUUAGGAUCUUGGGUUCCUUUUAGCCUAUUUAAAUUCAGCAACCUUGGUAUGUAAGGAGAUGAAUGUUAUUUUGAAUUUGAAAGAUUAUUCUUUCUUUGGUUCUUUUGAGAACUAGUGAACUUAUCAAGAAUUUACAUUCUUGUGGUGUUCCAAAUUUAGACUUAUCACUCACCUUCUCAUCUUUUUCUUGAGGGUGGCGUCAAUACCCUUCUCUAUACCUUUGGUUCAUGUUUUCUUAAGCAUUGGGUCAAGGUUUUUGUUUGCCAUAAAUCUGUUUAGAACUUUCUUGGGAAGUUGAAACUACAAAUUAAUUGUAGGAUUGAAAGUUUCAUUGUGGGAUUCGUAUCAGAUCCAACAGUUAUCAUUGAGCUUGCUACUGAGUAUACAACCAUUAUUAAGCUUUAAACUUGUUUUUAUUUCAUUGAUUCACACUUUGAGCUUUCAUUUGUAACCAUAUACAUUGUGUGAGAGAAAAUUCAUUUGUAAUCUAUAUUUUUGAGAGGUUGUAAGUAUUGGGAUACCCUUGGGCUAAGAGAUUAAGGAGAUUAGGUCUAUUGACACCUUGGAAGUUAAUUGGAAGAGUUGUUGAAGUCUUGGAGGCUCACUUAGUGAAAUCCUCAAGCCCGAUGAGCUUGGAGGCAUGGACGUAGGAAGGUUGGCCGAACCACGUAAAAAUCGCGUGUUUUCUCUCUCUUACCCAAUCUCUUUAUUUUUCAUUGCACAUUAAUUUGUUUAUUUCAAAUUUGAUUGAUUUGUUUAAAAUUGCAUUAACUUUUAGUUACCCAAAUUUUUAGAAUCCCAAUUCACCCUCUUGGGUUGCCUCAUUAAUAUUUCAUAAAUUUGUUGCACUAGCUACUUGUCAAAGUGUACCUUUUAUUUCGAGCUAGUCCUUCAUUUUUAAUCAACCACAUAAUGCCUCUUUUCAUCGUCUAUAAAUUCCAACACCUCAUAUGGAGCUUUACUAGCUUUCACCACAAUCAAUUUCCUUGAAGCUUUGGAUAUUUUUGCCAAUUUUCUAUGCAAUCUUGGAGGCAAAUCAGAGUCCCACAUUGCCGUCCUUUCUCUUCUUCGAAUAAGCCUUUAAAGGAUUGGUUUUUUAAAUCUUAUAAAUUCAAGCAAUUAAAGGAAUGGUUUUUUCCUAUACUCAUUGCGUAGAGAAUUCCAACUCUCUGAAAUAUUAAUAGUAACAUGAUCAAUCUUGAAAAAAGGAUCGAAAGUAUGACAUGCCAAUGUUUCUAGUUCAUUAUGCAUCAAUCGUUAUGUAGCCUUUUUCUUGAGUUAAUUUUUUUAAUUUCCUUUUCAAAUUCCACUCUGUUUGUUGCUCUCACAACCUUCCAAAACAUUCCCUUAAAUCCUUCAUGAAAUUCACAUAAAUAUGUUUUGCACAAUGUCUGAUGGCACACACUUGGGAAAAACUUCAUCAAUUGCCAAGAUGUUCCUUCAACAAGUCAAGAAACCACUUCCAACUGUCCUUGUACUCAACAUCACAAAUGCAAAAUGCCAGUUGGAAUAUGUCAUUGUUGGCAUUAAGUAUAAUAGCUAUCAAUAAGAUAUCGCUAAAUGAUGUCUUAAGGUGUCAACUCCAAUGAACCUUCUACAUCCACUUAUAAACCCAUUAUUUAGUGCAUCAAAACUUAUGAAUAUCCUCUUGAAGUACGUCUUUACACCUUGAUAAAUAUUUAUUGAUUUAAAAAUAAAAAUUUAUGCAAUUUUAGCUACUUCAAUUUAAAAUUUGAAUUAUUAAAUUUAUACGAGAGAAAAUAAAUUACUAAAUGCAAUCAAAUCCAAAACCAAUGAAUUAAAUUAGUGAACUUUAUUAUCCAUAAAAAUAGGGUCCGGCUAUGGUGCAACUGUGGUACCAUACCACAGUUGCUUCCAACCUUGGAUCUAGCUUAUGGUAACAACUGUAGCUGAAUCUAACGAUUGGAUGCAACUGUGGUAUGGUACCACAGUUGCACCAUAGUUUUGCUCAUAAAAAUAACCAAAGUACAAAAACUUACAAUUCAAACUUUAAAAUACAUUAGUUAAACCAUAUUCCAAAGUCAAGCCAAUAACCAAGCAAAGUACUCAGCAUUCACCAACAUUCAGCACCAAAGCUAUGCAAAUGUAGACCUUCUCUAGGAACAAAAUUCAGCAGGCCCCAAGCGAAGUAAAAUGUAUCCCAUUUCAUCAAUGGAAAAUAUUUAGUAAAAAAUAAGUAUUUACAUAGGACAAUAGUAAAAUAUGAAAAUAUUCAUUAAAGAAUAAGGUGAGACCCUUUUUUUCCUUUCCUAAAGUAAGGCAUUAAAAAGAAUUAAAGAUAUUUACACAAACAAAAUAAAUAAAAAUAGAAAUUAUGCAGUACUAUUAGUUGUGUGCAACACCUACCACAUAAACAAAGCAUUCAUAGCAAUCUCUGCGUUCUGCAAUUUCCUAUCAUCAACUAAUGAUAUAUAAAUAAAAUCAAUAGCCAUAAGCUGUAAUUUUUAGGACAAAUAAAAUGUAUAUGUACUUAAGUUCAUUAUUCCUUAAGUUUUGCUCUCUUUAGCAUGCCUUCUAACCGGCAAUCAUUGCCUACAUUAUUAAAGUUUAAUAUAGUUUUGGAUUAGAAUAUUCCUAGAAUUUGAAUGAACGUUGUAAUUUUAACUCUUUAAGAUUAAUGGAUUUCAUGCUUAGCCUCAACAAACUUGUCAAUUAAUGUUUGCAUACCGAAAAAGAGAUUAAAAAGAAAAAUAGGAAUUCAAGAAAAACUAAUAUAAGCAAUUUCUUACUUGAAAGAUCUAGGGUACAAGUUUUUUGAUCCUAUGACUAAGAUGAUUUUCGAGUUAGGAAAUACUUGGUUCUUUAAGGAUGCUGAGAUUAUAAAGGAAGGUCCAAGUAGGGAGUUUGUCUUUAAAAAUGAAUAUGUUGAUAUUCUCAUAGGUGUUAUUGCCAUCAAUCUAGGUCUCAUUCUUAACUUUGGCUCAGACACAAAUUUGUGUUAAUGAUAUUAUUUUUUGUUCUACUAAUAAGUUUUUGUGUAAGGAUUUUUCAUUUUGUAUGAGCUAAGAAUUUGAGAUGAGUAUGAUGGGAGAAUUGAAGUAGUUUCUUAGACUUCAAAUAAAACAAACUGAAGAAGGAAUCUUCAUCAAUCAAGCUUAAUAAGGAUGAAAAAAGCAAGGAAGUUUAUAUCAAAACUUAUCUAGGUAUGAUUGGAUCCUUAUUUUACUUUACUGUUAGUAGACCUGAUAUUAUGUUUAGUGUAUGCUUGUGUGCAAGAUUUCAAUUAUGUCCUAAAGAAUCUCAUUUGCUUGCGGUGAAAAAAAAAAUUCAUUACUUGAGUGGAACCAUAGAUCUUGGCCUUUGGUAUCCUAGAGGAACUCAUAUAGAUUUAACUUGUUACUCGGAUGCUGAAUUUGCCAGAUAUAAGGUUGAUAGGAAAAGCACUAGUGGAACAUGUUACUUUCUAGGUCACUAGAAACAAAAUUCGGUUGCACUAUCAACUACCAAGGGUGAAUAUAUUGCAGCCGGAAGUUGUUGUGCUCAAACCGUAUGGAUGAAACAAACUCUUAGAGACUUUGGCAUUUACCUUGAUAAAAUUCCUAUCAUGUGUGAUAAUACUAGUGUCAUAAAUCUUUCAAAUAAUCCUAUCCAACACUCAAGAACCAAGCGUAUAGAAUUGGACAUGAUUUCUUGAGAGAUCAUGAUAAAAAAGGGGAUAUUUCAUUGAAUUUUGUUUCAACCGAAAAACAACUCGCUGAUAUUUUCACAAAACCCCUUAAUGAAGAACAAUUUACUAAAAUUAAGCAUGAGCAUGUAAUGAUAAAUGUUACAUAAUAGCUUCACUAUAUGUGAUAUCAAAUCUACUUUGUUGUUUGUGAUGUGUUUGCUUAUUUGUAUUAGUUGUUUGAAUUGUGUGAAUUCAUGAAUCAUGCGUUAAAUUGGUCUUUAAGACAUUUCGGAUCAAUGAAAUGAUUUUGAAAUGGAUUAAUUGUUGGCCAAAAAAGAAAACAGAUUACCAUUUAUUCAAUAAACGGUUAACCAUUUUUGCACAGAAACUAGGGAAAAUAUUAAGGAAGAUAACGGUUCGCCAACUUCAUAAUAACGACUCACCGUUUUUGUAAAAUUUUAGUGAAGCAUUCUGGAAUGAUAUUGGCUCGCCGAUAUCUUAAUAAUGGCUCACCGUUAUUGCAUGAUAAGUGCACAGUAAAUCGUUUUCUUCAUUUUCUUUUGGCCAUGAACUAUUUUCUCUCAUCACCGUAACUGCAACUCUCUCUCUCUCUAAAAUCACUCAUUUUCUUUGCAAUUUCUUUCUAAAUUGAAGCCAUAGAAUUUUCUCCAACAAGUUUAGAACAUUUCUAUCAUAUCAAAAUCUUGUUUUAAGCCCCAAAUAAAAAAUUCCCAAUUUUGAAACCCUAGUGCAAACCGAACCUAUUUCUUUCAAUUUGACCACAAAUUUCUUCAUUUCUUAAUCAGUUAAGCCCAUAAACACCUUCAUGGCUAAUGAAGGACCUUCAAGACCUGAGCGACGAGUUAAACAACAGGCUGGCAGGAAUCCUACUCGUCCCUCUCCAGUACUUGAGUUUGAAAAGGUUCACUUUCCUUCUCCUUCUCUGGCUAGGAGGUUCCAAACUCGCUUUAUAAUGUGUAAGUUAACUGAUUCCUUCUUUGUUAUUUUAGAUGAUUUUGAGGAAUUGGUUGUUUAUAGUAGUAAUGUGAAGGAGCACCAUGGGAGACUGCUUUAAAUCUAGAGGAGAAAGUGUAUCAAAACCACAUUAGAAUUUUCUACUCUAAUAUGGAGCUUUCGACUACUAGGUUGGAUCGACUAGUUAUACCCAUUGAGUUCAUUGUGGAGGAUUUGAAUUCCAUUCUAGGGACUAAUCAUAUAGGACUAGAACUCUAUACUUCUCCAAAAGAACUCCAGUUUAACUGUUUUUCUUAUGUAGAUGCGGUUAGGAAUAUUUAUAUACAUCGAGACCUUUCCGACGAUGUUUGCUCACUGCCUUUUCAGUCUCAGUUGUUGCCCAUGCAGAUUAGAAUCCUUCAUAGUAUUCUCCAACAUAUAGUUACUCCUAGGAAACAGCAUAGUGACGAGGUCACUCGUUUGGAUGUUGGUUUACUGGACUGUCUUUUUAGAAGGCGUCCAGUUAACCUUGGGUAUAUUAUACUUCAUCACAUGUUGUCUACACUUGCAGUGAACAACAAACUUCUUCCCUAUGGUAGUAUUAUCAGUAGGAUCUUGAGGCAUUUUCAGAUUCCCAUUAUUGAGCCUGUGUAUAAAGAGACUAAGAGGUUGGGAGGUGAGAUUAUUCUCGGAAUCGAUUUUCGUAGGCGUAAUGGAGAAUGGGUGAAGAUUACUUCAUCUAGAGCUGGUAAAAUUCUACUCGACCCGAUUGCCCGACACGAACACGAUACGAAUAAAUGGGUAUGGGUCGUCGAAUUUAACAUGAAUAUUAAAUGGGUUGGGUCCGGGUCGACACGAUUUUUUUUCGCGUUGGGUUAGGGUUAAAAUUCUUGACCCAUUUACCCAAUCAAUGACCCGAUUAUAUUUUUAUUUUAAAAUAAUAUCCAGGUUCUUGUCGUCAAAACUCAAAUAUUAGAGAUGAUUUUCUCUUUUAUUUUUAUUCUUUGAAAUGAUAAAUAUAAACACAGUAUUUUAUUUAUAAAAUUUUAAAUACAUUUAGAACUUCAAUAGUGUAAAUGUGUAAAAUAUUAGUAGGCAUGUAUAUUUUAUAAUAUUGAUAUAUAAUAUUAUUUACAUAUAUAUAAUUAAAACCUCAAUAGUGUAAAUGUGUAAUAUUUUGUUAGAUAUGUAUAUUUUAUAAUAUCGAUAAAUUAUGUGUGUAUGUAUGUACAUAUGUAUGCAUGACAGUGUGUAAAUAUUUGAUGUAACUUUUGUUUAAUAUAUACAUAUUAAGCGGGUUAUUGGGAAACCCGAUUAUUUUUCCGUGUCGGGUUUGAGUCACAAUACUUUGACACGAUUAUUAAAUGGGUCGGAUUUGGGUCAGCCUAAAUUUGAGACGACAUGAAGCUGACACGACAUGAACACGACCUAAUGACUCAUUUUUCCAGCUCUAACUUCAUCUAAGAAUGAGUAUACACUUUUAGAUCCUGAGGAUGAUCGUCUGCUUAACGAUAUCUAUUCUACCGAUAAGCUACUCGACUUUUGAUUAGGUGCUAAACCUUGAGUUCCCCGUCGAGCUACAGUUGCGCACACUGAGGAGCCAGUGGAGUAGAAGGAGCAUGAUAUGGAUACUGAUGUGCUUCCGGUUCCUGCAGAUUCUUCCUCAUCUAAGGGCUUGAUGCAGCAGCUUCUUAGCGAGGUUCGCACUCUUUCACUAUAGUAGCAGCAGCUUAUGUCUCACUUCGAUACUUUUCAACAGUUCAUCUUAGAUCAGCAGCAGGAGCUUCGUGAUCGUUGGAAAUGCAUCCUCACUGCACUCGGUUUCCCUCCCGCUGGGUCUUCAUCGUAGCCACCUCCUUUGUUUAUCUUUCAAUGUUUUAUGUUUUCCCUUGUUUCGGACAUACAUUUCUGAUCUCAUUUUAUAUUUUGAAUGAUAUAACUAUGUCGUAUGUGCUCUUUUAGCUUUCAUAAAUGUAUUUGGAUUGCUUGAUGAUUUUGAUGGUUGACAACUGUUUUGUGUCGUUGGAUUGUUGAGGUUGAGAUAAUUUGAUUUUAUUAUUGGAGUUGAGUUGGUUUGAGAUUAUAUGGAAGUGUCUUUAACUAUUUUUGUAUUUGAGGAUAUACUCAUUUUUAAGGGGAGAUUUUGCCGAAAUUUCUGUCCACACAAAAUGGGUAAUAUCUGCACUUAUAUAUAUAUAUAUAUAUAUAUAUAUAUAUAUAUAUAUAUAGUAGAAUCUUUGUACAAGGACUGAAAUACUAUACGGGUGAAGAGACAUGUGCGCUCUCACUUGUGUCCAGGGGACCACCCGAAAAGGAAAAUAUGUUUUUUUUUAUUAAGUAAAUAAUCAAAUUAUUAUUUACAAUGCUUUACCGGAGAGAAAAUCCCGAAACAAUCAUCUUCAUUUUCUUCUCCAAGAGAAAUAAAUGGCUCUUCAUCUUCUUCUUCUUCGUCUUCAGAAGUGUCAGCUACUGAGGACUUUGAUCUGGAAGUGAGGAGCUGUUCCAUGACUUUGAAAUACUCAUCUUCAGUUUUGGCGCUGGCCAAAAGGGAUUGGGCUUUGGACUUUUGGGUUAGGAAGGUCUGUUGGGCUUUGGGGUCUUUAAUGGUUUGAGGUAGAAAGCCUUUUGAACAAAGCCAAUCUUUAAUAAGGGGUUCUGUCAAUUUGGUUUGUUCAUCGAAUUUUGACCACCACUUGACUUUGAAAGUUCUUUGUAUGAUGAGUUGUUUUUCUUGGGUAUGAAAUUUGAAAUCCCACAUCCAUACCCAUGGGAGGAAGAAAUUUGUACAAAGCAGAGGAAGGGAGAAAACCGUUUUUCUGAAUCUGAUGGGGUAUAAUGGGCUUUAAAAAGGUUUAGACAAUGGUUGGCAUUUGGAGUUAGGAGUUGUGGUGUUGGGCCGAAAUAGUUCCACCAUUGUUGGAAUCAGUUUGGAAGACUUUGGACGGUUAUUUUUGAAUUGAAGAAAAAUAACCAUGAAUGGGACUUUUUUGGGUUUUGUAAGAAAAAUGUGUUAAACCAAGCUUGUUGGUAAUCCCAAUAGGAAUAGGCCAAGCAGUGUGGUAGACGCAUUUGGAAAUUUGGAGGGAAGGUUUUAAAUUUGUGGAGUUGGUCACCCCAUUGGUUUGGGCUCAAGACUUUAAGAAUAGUGGCCGUGGAAUAGGCCGGCUCAGAAUGGGUUUCACUGAGAAAGAAAUGUUUGAAUUUUACAGACUCAGUGGCUUCUAAAAUGCUUUGAUAGUAAGGCUGGGGUUUUGUUAAAUCUCAUGGUUUGAAAAACCAGCCUUUAGGAAAAAACUUUGAAAUUGCUUGGAAAGGAUCAGUGUGGUAAAAUCCAUCUUCCAUAGUUAAAACAUUUUGAAAAUGGGUUUUAUCAUACCAAUCGGAGGUUUUCUUUGAAAGAGUUGGCUGGGAAAGAACAAUCUGAGAAGACGAACUUUCACCAGAAAGAACAACAGUUUGGCUUUGAGAAGAAGACUUUGUAAUUUCUUUAGAAGUUGGUUUUUCUUCCUCAGGGAUCUGAGAAAGAGCUUUAGAUUUUGAAAUGCCUUGUAAGGCAAGCAUAAGCUCAGGGGACCUUGUAAUGGAUUCCAUCCACUCUUUGACUUGUUGCUCAGAGGAGAUGGAUUUGUAUUAGGUUUCUUGUUGUUCUCCAACCAUUUCAAUCCAGGAUUUAAUGGGCAUGGCAUAAGAAAGUAUUUUUUCUUUAGAGGGAGUAGUUUGGGAUUCUAUGGGGUUCUUUGUAGGUUCGGUAUCUUUGAGAACAACUUUACCUUUGUUUUUCUUCGGCGGCAUUAUCUGUUUUGCAAAAAUUCCCGAGUUAGAAAAUCAGGAACAAAAUUUGUAUCUCCUUUAAUAUAUUCAAUAUCAAAAUCAAAAACACUUAAAAUGGCUUGCCAUCGUGCAAAAAUUUGUUUUGAUGCAAUAUUUUGAACAUCUUUUUCCAAAACAUGUUUUGCAGCUUUGCAAUCAAUUCUAAGUAGAAAUUUUUGAUUUAAUAAAUCACUUUGAAAUUUUGUAAUGCAUAAAACAAUGGAAAUGAUUUCUUUUUUGAUAGUAGAAUAAUUUUUCUGGCAAUCAUUCCAAUGUGCAGAAACAUAUUGUACUAUCUGUUCUUUAUCAUUUUCUUUUUGCUUUAAUAUGCCUCCAUAACCUAAAUCAGAUGCAUCAGUUUCAACAAUUUUAGGUAAUGUAGGAUUAGCAAGAUAUAAACAUGGGAUGCCUUUUACAGAAUUCUUUAUAAGCUUUACAACCUUGGUAUGUUCAUCUGUCCAAGGAACAGGUUUUUUCUUUAAUCUAUCAUGCAAGGGUUUAGACAUCCUAUUAAUGUUAGGACAGAAAUCAAGAACAUAAUUUAAACUUCCAAGAAAUCUUUGUAAUUGGGUUUUGUCAAGAAUUUUAUCAGGGAAUUUAUUUGCAAACAAAAGGGAUCGCUCGAUUGGAGUGAUUGUUCCUUUAGAAAUAUGAUGAACAAGGAAUCUGACUUUUGUUUGAAAUAAAGAAACUUUAGAACUAGAGAUUGCCAAUCCAGCCUUUCUGGUGGCAAAAUAAAAAGUCUUUAAAUGUUUGAAAUGUUGAUCGAUUGAAUUUGAAAAUAUCAACACAUCGUCAAUGUAAACAAUGCAAAAAUCAGAAUAAGGAUUAUAAAUAUCAUUCAUAAUUCUUUGAAAUUCUGAAGGUGCAUUCUUUAAACCAAAAGGCAUGACUGUCCAUUCAUAUUGACCAAAUGGAACAGUAAAAGCAGUUUUGUAACGGUCAUUCGGAUGAAUUUGAAUUUGCCAAAAACCUGACUUCAUGUCAAAUUUUGAAAAUAUGAAAGCAGAAUGUAGUUUUUGGAGCAAAUCCUUUUUAUUAGGUAUUGGGUACCUAAUCCAUUUUAGGGCUUUGUUAAGGGGUUUGUAAUUUAUAACCAAUCUAGGGGUGCCUCUUUCAAUUUCAGAAUUUUUAUUAACAUAAAAAGCGGCACAAGACCAUGGGGAUCUUGACUUUACAAUGAGUCCUUUGGACUCCAAAUCUUUGAUUUUCUUUUUACAAUAUUGUUCUAAUUCCAUAUUCAUUUGAAUUGGACGGGCUUUAGUAGGAAUUUGUCUUUCAUCAAAAGAAUUUUCAUAAGGUAGAUCUACCAAGUGUUGUUUUCUGUUCCAAAAAGCAGAGGGUAGAUCGGCACAAAUUUCUUUUUCAAUAAGAGUUUUGAAAUCAGAAAUUUUUCUUUUAAUGAAUUCACUUUGUAAUUGGCUUUCAAUUCUUUGUAAAUCCAAAUCCUUUUUUAAAAACAUUAGAUCACACUGUUUUGAUUUAAGUAAAUUGUUUAUUCGGUUUUGAUAAACAGAACAAGCUUUAACAAUAUUUAAAUUCCUUGUUUUAGGUUUUUCAAUAAAUGGAAAAACAAGUUUUUCAUUUUUUGCUUUGAAGGAUACACUAUCAUAAUUGACAGUAUAAUGUGUUAUAAGAUUUAUAAAAGGAGUUCCCAAGAUGAUGGCAUGGUGAAUAUCCUUUGUGAGAACAAAAGAAGUUCUAAAUUCAAAACCAUUGUUAUGAAUUGAAGCUUCAACUUUAGAUUUUACAUUGAGUUUUGAAUUAUUAGCGGCAGAAAGUCUUUCUUUAGUUUUCUCAUGAAAUCGUUUGGGGACAAUAUCUUCCCUUAUGCAAUUUAAAUCGGCUCCAGUGUCAAAAAGGGCAAUGGCAUCAAUUGCAAAAUCAUCAGAAAAAAUUAAAGUGAUUUUAAUUAAAUAUUUUCUCGUGGUGAUUUGUUUUAAAACAAAUAGAAAAUCAUUGGGAACAGAUUCAAUGUUUUCUAAACUUUGAUCAUUGUUAUCACCAUUAUCAGAAUUGGAUUCAUUAUCUGAAUUAUCCUGUAAAUGUUUUUGCAAAAGAAGUUGGAUAGUCUCAGAAUCACUUUUUUGUUUUUCUUUUAAUUCUCUAAUCUCAGUUUUAAUGUCUUUAAUUUCUUUCUGAAGAUCUUGAAUAUUGGGGGUAUUUUUCUUCGUUUUCUUUUUAUUCAAAAUCUCAGUAAGAUCAUAAGAGUUCUUUUUAACAAUUGGAAUUUUAGAAGUUUCAACUUUAUUAAAAUCCAGAGUUUUCAAAAGCUUAUCAAGAUAUUCUUUUUGAAGACUUGGAUCGGAAAUAUGCUUUACGAGUUCAAGAAAAGUUUCUUGGUCUUUAGUCAAAACAUUGAUUUUCUUUAAAAAGGAAUCUGUUUCAAAUCCACUACUGCUAGAUGCAGAGGUAUCUGAGUCAAAAAGCUCAUCGACCUGAAGUGGGUCACUAUCUCCUGACAUGGAGGACUCAGAGUCUGAAGACUCUACCAUGAGAGGGGCAAUUUUGGAAAGGACGUCAUCAUCUAGGCCAAGCUCCUGGAGCUUCUUGUUCAUUCUGCAAUAUUUUGCAGUAUGGCCUUUUAUGCCACACUUAUGACAUAUGGCUUCUUUGUAAUUGAAAGGAGUAAAAGGGGUCUUUGGUUUGGCUCUAAAGUUUUUCUUUUUAGAGAAAUUGAGUUUUUUAUAAGGCCUUGAAGGUUUCUUAUAAGAUUCUCUAAACUUUUGGAAUGGUUUCUUAUGGCUUUUGGAUUUGUAAUGUUUUCUGUGAGGUCUUGAAGAACAUUCACCAUUACAAUCCUUGGAAGUAGAGGUUUUAAAGGGGUCAUAGUUGAAUUGUUUACAGAAACCGCCUAACUCUUGUUUAGACUUCUUAAGUUCCCACUUAAGACGUUUCUGUAAUUUCAAAUCUUGACAAAUCUUUAAACCUUCUUUAUUGACGAAACUGACAAGUUCACCUUAGGUAAGCUCGUCAUAAGGAAUACGGUUAUCAUAAAGGGCUUUAAUAGAAUUUCUUACUUUUUCACCUAGAAGGGUAGGUAAUCCAGCAAGAAAUUUUUCUUUCCAAGUUGUAUGAUUUGCAUCAUCUCUUAAAAAUAAUCUGGUAAAAAAUGAGGUUUUGUAACUUUGAAAUUCACUAAGUUUCCUACAUCUUAAAUUAUAUAGUAACUCAGCGUUUUUAUCACGAAGGUGUGAAGGGUCACCAAUGAAAUGGAGGGAAAUGGUUAAAAUUAGAGUAGCAACAGCAUCCUGGAUUGGAUUGUUGAACUCAUCAAAAAUAGGGACUCCAUUUUCAUCGACUUGAAUGGAAUUUAGAAUGUCUAAUUGUUGCUGAUUAGUGAGAAGAUGAUCCCACCAACCUUUUAAUUGACCAGUAAAACCGGCAAUGAGGAUUUCUGAUAUAGCACGAUCAGAAGUUCCUGCUUGGGUUUUAUAGGCAUUGGCUGCCAUUGUCAUUUGUUGCAACAAUCCUAGGAUAUUGUAUUCGGACAUACCGUCAAUAUUCCACUCAUAGACUGAAGAUGCAUUAUAUCGGGAUUGAUUUAAUGCACUUAGUCUAUUAUCUAUUGCUAGAUCCGGUGGAGUCUUGACAGUGGGAAGGGCUAAUUCCCAAUGAAUUUUGUUGGCUUUAGGAGUAGAAGGUUCUUCUUUGAAGGCUUCUAUAUCAGAAGAGGCUAUAGACAUUUGGUCUUGUUCUAAUACUCCAAUCUUUAUAGAUUGAGGAGUAUCAGGGGCUAUCUGAACUUUGCUAGAUGAGGAAGAAGCAGCUUCUAUCCUAUCUAAUUGUUCUCUAAUGGCUUUAGCAAAAUCUGAUUUUGACUCUUGAACAAGCUUUUGGCUAGUUUUCGAAACCUAAAAGGGUUUGAAAAUAGGUUCCUUAAGCUUUUUGUCAGAAUUCGAUUUUGUUGGAAUAGGAGAAAUUGAUGGAACAGUAAUGGUUGACUUCUGGAUUUGGUUUUCUAUCCUAGUCAACUGCUUUCGAUUGUAUUUAAGUUAGUAUUACAGAAAUUAUUCUGUUGGAUAAUACUACUUAAAUUUGCCUCAGAAUCAUUUGGUUUUGGAAUUUUGUAAGGUGAAGCUCGAAUUUGGACAGGAGGUUCACCGUGAUCAAUGGAAAUAGCCUAUUGUCUAUUUCCUUCUGGUAUCAGAGCCAGGGGAGGAAAGUGUUUUAUUGUUUAGAGUUUCGUGUUUGAAAUCUUGUGUUUUAUUUUAAAGUUUUGUUUUGUGGUGAAUUUUUACUGGUUGUAAGUCCCGUUUUAGGAUAAGAAUUCCGCUGAGGGCUGUAAAUCCAUACCUGUAGCCAUAUUGACCAAACCAAAAAUAGACCAUAAGGUCUUGACCAUGGAUCCUCCGAUCUGUAGAACAUCAUCCUUUUCUAGCUUCUCUUCCGGGAAGACUAGUGAUUCAAAGCAUGUUGUGAGUUCAGAAGAAUUCAUUAUUGAGAACUUUGAUAAAGCAAUUGAUUGUUGGGAACUUCCAAAAAUUUCCAAAGAAAAGAUUUACAAAACAAAAAAGCUCGAUAUUUUGAAAAAUGAUUAUGUUAUAACGACUGAAGAACGUGAUAUUACUAUUUCAGAACCUUUUGAAACAAUUCACCUGUUUUCAGAAAGCUCAUUAAAGAAAUUAAAGGAAAAGAAAUUUAAUUAUGUCCACAUCGGUCUUAUCCAGGUCGGAAUAAAGCCUCUUACAAAAGAGGGCUUGGAUACCUCUAUCCUUGUUGUCCUUAGAGAUGGUUGAUUCAUCUCUUUUGAUAAUUCCUUGCUAAGUAGCAUCGAAUCUAGUCUAUGUAAAGGUCCGAUUUCUUUUGAUUGUUAUCCAAACAUAACAAUUUCUCUUAAAGACAAAAAUAUUUUGAAAAGCAUGAUUUUACAAAUCAAAACCCAUAAUUAUAAUAUGAUUAAAGGGUCUGUCCCAGUUGCACUGAUUUUUAAAAUCUCUUAUAAAGCAAUGAUUUCAGCAUUCAGUACGCAACAUAAAUUCCAGUCAAAAAGAGAUGAGACUCUUCUCUUGCAGACUGAUUUGUCUAGAGCAAAUACUGUUAUUCCAAAACCAAUCCAAUGGAAAGAUAUCAAUCUUCCAGAGGAAUGGAUUCUUGAAGGAGCUGCUCCACCAGCAAUUCCAAAACAACUUGAGCCUAAUACAGAGUUGCAAAAUGUGACUCAGUAUUCUGAUGGUAGAGUCAAACUAUCUUUCAGAAGAUCUAACUCUACCAGAUUUUCUGAUAAAGAGUCGUGCUCAAGCAUUCCUUCAUUAGAAAGGAAAUUCACAAAAAUCCCUUCGGUCAUAAAUCUUCCUUUCCAAAGUCAGCCUAGGUUCUCUACUUCAGAUGUACCUAGCUCCUCCAUACGUUCUGUUGACUAUACUACAAAUAUUCCUCAUCCAAUUUAUACUAGCAGUCAACAUGAACAAAAGCAGGAUGAGAAGGAACCUUCUCCUCCAACUUCCCCUACAUUCUCUGCGGUCACAGAAAAUGUUAUAAAUGUUAUUGAAAAGAAUUUUGAACUUGACAAAAAUCUUCUUCAUGAUGAUUUUUAUUCAGAAAAGAAUAAAGGAAAAAGAACUUGGUUUUUUAAAUAUUUUCUAAAUCAAAGAAAAGAAAUCCAACAAGUUUAUUAUGAAUUUGUAAACUUACAUCAAGUUCAUAUAUUGUUUUUUGAUUGGUUCGAAAUAUAUUCUUCUGAGAACAACAUUUUCAAUCCCUUUAAAGAAUCGAACCCUAUAACUAUUAGAAAGAAAAUUCCUGAGUGGAAACUCUUUGAUAGUGACAGAACCAUAGAAUCUGAGCACCCACCUCUUCGGAGUAUAACUGUUGAUCACGGUGAACCUCCUGUCCAAAUUAGAGCCUCACCUUACAAAAUCCCAAAACCAAAUGAUUCUGAUGCCAAUUUGAGUAGUAUUAUCCAACAGAAUAAUUUCUGCAAUACUAACUUAAAUACCAUUAGAAAACAGUUGACUAGGAUAGAAAACCAAUUCCAAAAGUCAACCAUAGCCAUCUCCUCUGUUUCUCCUGUUCCAUCAAAAUCAGAUUCUGACAAAAAGCUUAAAAACCCUAUUUUCAAACCUUUUCAGGUUUCGAAAACUAGCCAAAAGCUUGCUCAAGAGUCAAAAUCAGAUUUUGCUAAAGCCAUUAGAGAACAACUAGAUAGGAUUGAAGCAGCUUCAUCUUCAUCUAGUAAAGUUCAAAUAGCUCCUGAUACUCCCUAAUCUAGCAAGAUUGGAGUACUAGAACAUGAUGACCAAACUUCUAUAGCCUCUUCAGACUUAGAAGCCUUCAAAGAUGAUUCUAUUCCUAAAGCCAACAAAAUCCAUUGGGAAUUAGCCCUUUCCACAGUCAAGUCUCCUCCGGAUUUGACCAUAGACAAUAGGCCUAGUGCAUUAAACCAAUCUCGGUAUAAUGCAUCCUCUGUCUAUGAAUGGAAUAUUGAUGGAAUGUCGGAAUACAACAUACUAGGAUUGUUGCAACAAAUGACCAUGGCAGCCAAUGCCUAUAAAACCCAAUCAGGAACUUCUGACAAAGCCAUUGCAGAAAUCCUUAUUGCCGGUUUAACUGGUCAACUUAAAGGAUGGUGGGAUCAUCUUCUCACCAAUGAGCAACAAUUAGAUAUCCUUAAUUCUAUCCAAAGAGAUCAAGAUGACACCCCCAUCUUUGAUGAAUUCAAUAACCCAAUUCAGGAUGCAGUAGCAACCCUAAUUAUUACUAUUUCUCUUCAUUUCAUAGGUGACCCUUCUCACCUUAGAGACAAAAAUGCUGAGUUACUACACAAUCUAAGAUGUAGGAAACUUAGUGAGUUCCAAACCUACAAAACUACUUUCUUCACCAGACUCUUUCUUAGAGAUGAUGCAAAUCAUACUACUUGGAAAGAAAAAUUCUUAGCAGGAUUACCUACCCUUUUAGGAGAAAAGGUUAGGAAUUCUAUUAAAGCCCUUUAUGACAAUCGCAUUCCCUAUGACGAUCUAACUUAUGGUGAGCUAGUCAGCUUUGUCAACAAAGAAGGUUUAAAGGUCUGUCAAGAUUUGAAAUUACAAAAACGGCUUAAAUGGGAGCUUAAGAAGUCUAAGCAAGAAUUAGGCGGUUUUUGUAAACAAUUCAACUAUGACCCCUUUAAAACCUCUACUUCCAAGGAUUGUAAUGGUGAAUGUUCUUCAAGACCUCACAGAAAACAUUACAAAUCCAAAAGCCAUAAGAAACCAUUCCAAAAGUUUAGAGAAUCUUUUUAUAAGAAACCUUCGAGGCCUUAUAAAAAACCCAAUUUCUCUAAAAAGAAAAACUUUAGAGCCAAACCAAAGACCCCUUUUACUCCUUUCAAUUACAAAGAAGCCAUAUGUCAUAAGUGUGGCAUAAAAGGCCAUACUGCAAAAUAUUGCAGAAUGAACAAGAAGCUCCAGGAGCUUGGCCUAGAUGAUGAAGUCCUUUCCAAAAUUGCCCCUCUCAUGGUAGAGUCUUCAGACUCUGAGUCUUCCAUGUCGGGAGAUAGUGACCCACUUCAGGUCGAUGAGCUUUUUGACUCAGAUACCUCUGCAUCUAGCAGUAGUGGAUCUGAAACAGAUUCCUUUUUAAAGAAAAUCAAUGUUUUGACUAAAGACCAAGAAACUUUUCUUGAAAUCGUAAAGCAUAUUUCCGAUCCAAGUCUUCAAAAAGAAUAUCUUGAUAAGCUUUUGAAAACUCUGGAUUUUAAUAAAGUUGAAACUUCUAAAGUUCCAAUUGUUAAAAAGAACUCUUAUGAUCUUACUGAGAUUUUGAAUAAAAAGAAAACGAAGAAAAAUACCCCCAGUAUUCAAGAUCUUCAGAAAGAAAUUAAAGACAUUAAAACUGAGAUUAGAGAAUUAAAAGAAAAACAAAAAAGUGAUUCUGAGACUAUCCAACUUCUUUUGCAAAAACAUUUACAGGAUAAUUCAGAUAAUGAAUCCAAUUCUGAUAAUGGUGAUAACAAUGAUCAAAGUUUAGAAAACAUUGAAUCUGUUCCCAAUGAUUUUCUAUUUGUUUUAAAACAAAUCACCACGAGAAAAUAUUUAAUUAAAAUUAUUUUAAUUUUUUCUGAUGAUUUUGCAAUUGAUGCCAUUGCCCUUUUUGACACUGGAGCCGAUUUAAAUUGCAUAAGGGAAGAUAUUGUCCCCAAACGAUUUCAUGAGAAAACUAAAGAAAGACUAUCUGUCGCUAAUAAUUCAAAACUCAAUGUAAAACUAAAGUUGAAGCUUCAAUUCAUAACAAUGGUUUUGAAUUUAGAACUUCUUUUGUUCUCACAAAGGAUAUUCAUCAUGCCAUCAUCUUGGGAACUCCUUUUAUAAAUCUUAUAACACCUUAUACUGUCAAUUAUGAUAGUAUAUCCUUCAAAGCAAAAAAUGAAAAACUUGUUUUUCCAUUUAUUGAAAAACCUAAAACAAGGAAUUUAAAUAUUGUUAAAGCUUGUUAUGUUAAUCAAACCGAAUAAACAAUUUACUUAAAUCAAAACAGUGUGAUCUAAUGUUUUUAAAAAAGGAUUUGGAUUUACAAAGAAUUGAAAGCCAAUUACAAAGUGAAUUCAUUAAAAGAAAAAUUUCUGAUUUCAAAACUCUUAUUGAAAAAGAAAUUUGUGCCGAUCUACCCUCUGCUUUUUGGAACAGAAAACAACACUUGAUAGAUCUACCUUAUGAAAAUUCUUUUGAUGAAAGACAAAUUCCUACUAAAGCCCGUCCAAUUCAAAUGAAUAUGGAAUUAGAACAACAUUGUAAAAAGGAAAUCAAAGAUUUGGAGUCCAAAGGACUCAUUGUAAAGUCAAGAUCCCCAUGGUCUUGUGCCGCUUUUUAUGUUAAUAAAAAUUCUGAAAUUGAAAGAGGCACCCCUAGAUUGGUUAUAAAUUACAAACCCCUUAACAAAGCCCUAAAAUGGAUUAGGUACCCAAUACCUAAUAAAAAGGAUUUGCUCCAAAAACUACAUUCUGCUUUCAUAUUUUCAAAAUUUGACAUGAAGUCAGGUUUUUGGCAAAUUCAAAUUCAUCCGAAUGACCGUUACAAAACUGCUUUUACUGUUCCAUUUGGUCAAUACGAAUGGACAGUCAUGCCUUUUGGUUUAAAGAAUGCACCUUCAGAAUUUCAAAGAAUUAUGAAUGAUAUUUAUAACCCUUAUUCUGAAUUUUGCAUUGUCUAUAUUGAUGAUGUUCUGAUUUUUUCUCAAACCAUCGACCAACAUUUCAAACAUUUAAAGACUUUUUAUUUUGCUACCAGAAAGGCUGGCCUAGCAAUCUCCAGUUCAAAAGUCUCUUUGUUUCAAACAAAGAUUAGGUUCCUAGGUCAUCAUAUUUCCAAAGGGACCAUUACCCCUAUUGAGCGUUCACUUGUCUUUGUAGACAAGUUUCCUGAUAAAAUCCUAGACAAAACUCAAUUACAAAGGUUUCUAGGAAGUUUAAAUUAUGUUCUUGAUUUCUGCCCUAAUAUCAACAGGUUGUCUAAACCUCUGCAUGAUAGAUUAAAGAAAAAACCUGUUCCUUGGACAGAUGAACAUACCAAAGUUGUAAAGCUUAUAAAGAAUUCUGUAAAAAGCAUCCCAUGUUUAUAUCUUGCUAAUCCUACAUUACCUAAAAUUGUUGAAACUGAUGCAUCUGAUUUAGGUUAUGGAGGCAUAUUAAAGCAAAAAGAAAAUGAUAAAGAACAAAUAGUACAAUAUGUUUCUGCACAUUGGAAUGAUUGCCAGAAAAAUUAUUCUACUAUCAAAAAAGAAAUCCUUUCCAUUGUUUUAUGCAUUACAAAAUUUCAAAGUGAUUUAUUAAAUCAAAAAUUUCUACUUAGAAUUGAUUGCAAAGCUGCAAAACAUGUUUUGGAAAAAGAUGUUCAAAAUAUUGCAUCAAAACAAAUUUUUGCACAAUGACAAGCCAUUUUAAGUGUUUUUGAUUUUGAUAUUGAAUAUAUUAAAGGAGAUACAAAUUUUGUUCCUGAUUUUCUAACUCGGGAAUUUUUGCAAAACAGAUAAUGCCGCCGAAGAAAAACAAAGGUAAAGCUGUUCUCAAAGAUACCGAACCUACAAAGAACUCCAUAGAAUCCCAAAAUACUCCCUCUAAAGAAAAAAUACUUUCUUCUGCCAUGCCCAUUAAAUCCUGGAUUGAAAUGGUUGGAGAACAACAAGAAACCCAAUACAAAUCCAUCUCCUCUGAGCAACAAGUCAAAGAGUGGAUGGAAUCCAUUACAAGGUCCCCUGAGCUUAUGCUUGCCUUACAAGGCAUUUCAAAAUCUAAAGCCCUUUCUCAGAUCCCUGAGGAAGAAAAACCAACUUCUAAAGAAAUUACAAAGUCUUCUUCUUAAAGCCAAACUAUUGUUCUUUCUGGUGAAAGUUCGUCUUCUCAGAUUGUUCUUUCCCAGCCAACUCUUUCAAAGAAAACCUCCGAUUGGUAUGAUAAAAUCCAUUUUCAAAAUGUUUUAACUAUGGAAGAUGGAUUUUACCACACUAAUCCUUUCCAAGCAAUUUCAAAGUUUUUUCCUAAAGGCUGGUUUUUCAAACCAUGGGAUUUAACAAAACCCCAGCCUUACUAUCAAAGCAUUUUAGAAGCCACUGAGUUUGUAAAAUUCAAACAUUUCUUUCUCAGUGAAACCCAUUAUGAGCCGGCCUAUUCCACGGCCACUAUUCUUAAAGUCUUGAGCCCAAACCAAUGGGGUGACCAACUCCACAAAUUUAAAACCUUUCCUCCAAAUUUCCAAAUGCGUCUACCACAUUGCUUGGCCUAUUUGAUGAGAACCAUCAAGGGACCAUUAAAACUUCAAGUGAUCCUUUGCACAUUCAUGGAGGCCCAAUUACAAGAGCAAGAGCCAAAAAGAUGCAAGCUGCUUUAAAUGGAUUAAUUGAGAAAAUAUGGAUUGAAAAUGCAAUUCAAGAUGCAAGACAUCAUGAAUUGGGCUUGAAGAGAAGACAAGGCAUUGUGGGCAUUAUUCAAGUCAUUGGGCAGCCAAAUACACAAGUUGUAUCAAAUGCAGAAAGGUCAAAUUCGGAAUAAAAACUGUAUUGAUUGAGCCAGAAGUAACGUGCAAGCUAUAUACCGUUGGAAAGAUAAUUAAGUUAGCUUUCCAAUAAAUUUUAACAGAGCUGGAUUUGGAGUUUUCUAGAAGGAGUUAUGACCAAUUCAUUACAGCUUGUUCAGACUUGGGAUUUUCAACGACUCCUUUGUUUUUCAACUUCAUUUGUUUGUUUUGUUUCAAGUUUGUCAAUGUGUAAGGUAAGUCUACCAUCAAUGAUGGUGGGCUAACAUUAAGUUUGUCAAUGAUAGCAUUAAUUAUAGUAGGCUAGGAUUAAGUUUGUCAAAGAUAGCAUUAAUUAUGGUGGGUUGGUGAAGACUUUUGAAACAUCUUUGGACAAACCUACUUGGAGGGUUGUUCCAAUGUUUCCAUUUGUAUUUUUAGGAUCUUGGGUUUCUUUUAGCCUAUUUAAAUUCAACAACCUUGCUAUGUAAUGGGAUUGGAGAUUAAUGUUAUUUGAAUUUGAAAGAUUAUUCUUUCUUUGGUUCUUUUGAGAACUAGUGAACUUAUCAAGAAUUUACAUUCUUGUGGUGUUCUAAAUUUAGACUUAUCACUCACCUUCUCAUCUUUUUCUUGAGUGUGGCGUCAAUACCCUUCUCUAUACAUUUGGUUCAUGUUUUCUUAAGCAUUGGGUCAAGGUUUUUGUUUGCCAUAAAUCUGUUUAGAACUUUCUUGGGAAGUUGAAACUACAAAUUAAGUGUAGGAUUGAAAGUUUCAUUGUGGGAUUCGUAUCACUAUUCCUAUUGGGAUUACCUACAAGCCUGGUUUAACACAUUUUUCUUACAAAACCCAAAAAAGUCCCAUUCAUGGUUAUUUUUCUUCAAUUCAAAAAUAACCGUCCAAAGUCUUCCAAACUGGUUCCAACAAUAGUGGAACUAUUUCGGCCCAACACCACAACUCCUAACUCCAAAUGCCAACCAUUGUCUAAACCUUUUUAAAGCCCAUUAUACCCCAUCAUAUUCAGAAAAACAGUUUUCUCCCUUCCUCUGUUUUGUACAAAUUUCUUCCUCCCAUGGAUAUGGAUGUGGGAUUUCAAAUUUCAUACCCAAGAAAAACAACUCAUCAUACAAAGAACUUUCAAAGUCAAGUGGUGGUCAAAAUUCGAUGAACGAACCAAAUUGAUAGAACCCCUCAUUAAAGAUUGGCUUUGUUCAAAAGGCUUUCUACCUCAAACCAUUAAAGACCCCAAAGCCCAACAGAUCUUCCUAACCCAAAAGUCCAAAGCCCAAUCCCUUUUGGCCAGCGCCAAAACUGAAGAUGAGUAUUUCAAAGUCAUGGAACAGCUCCUCACUUCCAGAUCAAAGUCCUCAGUAGCUGACACUUUUGAAGACGAAGAAGAAGAAGAUGAAGAGCCGUUUAUUUCUCUUGGAGAAGAAAAUGAAGAUGAUUGUUUCGGGAUUUUCUCUCCGGUAAAGCAUUGUAAAUAAUAAUUUGAUUAUUUACUUAAUAAAAAAAAACAUAUUUUCCUUUUCGGGUGGUCCCCUGGACACAAGUGAGAGCGCACAUGUCUCUUCACCCGUAUAGUAUUUCAAUCCUUGUACAAAGAUUCUACUAUUCAAAGAUACGAUCCAAAGGUUACUGUGCACUCAAAACCCCGCUACAGUGAACAGUGCAAAUUUUCAAAGAUUACUGUGCACUCAAAGCUCCGCUACAGUGAACAGUUUAAAAUUUUUGUAUAGAUAUAUAUAUAUAUAUAUAUAUAUCUUUGUUAUGAUAAAAUUUUAAUGGAUUCAUAUACUUUUGGUUAGAAAAUUAAUUGGCCAUAUACUAAGGGGAAGCACAUACUUAGGCAAAGUAAAUUUGCAUAAUCUUGUAAUGUUUGUCAUCAUAAAAAAGGGAGAGAUUGUUAACUUAUAUUGUUAAAUUGAUAAGAUUGAAACAUUUUGUUAAUUGGAUCAUUGAUAAAAUCUAAGAAAACAGUGAACCAUUUAUUAGAAAACGGUAAACUGAUAGCAUUUCAGAGAGCAAAUCUUAGAUAACGACAAACUUUUUAUUGAUAACGGUGAACCGAUUGCAUUCCAGAGAGCAAGUUUCAGACAACGAAAAUUCGUUUAUGGAUAACGGAGAACCGAUUUGCAUUCCAGAGAGCAAAUUUUAGAUAAUGGCAAACUGUUUAUUGAUAACAGUAAACCGAUAACAGUCCAGAGAGCAAUCAUCUUGCAAACGGUAAACUGUUUAUGUCAAACGGAUAACCGAUAUCUUUUGACAGGAUUCUAGAGCGAUAACGAUAAGCGGACAUCUUGAUAACGGUGAUUUGACAAUUUGAAUUUUGGCACAAUGUCACUUCCUCAGUCAAACGGCUAUUCGAUAAAUGUAAAACGGCGAUCCAAUUGUGUGCAGGAAGUCAAUAACGGCUAGUUUUCAGUUCCAACUAUAAAAUGACCGAAUCAAAUUCAAACAAAAUAAGAUCCAACAGUUAUCAUUGAGCUUACUAUUGAGUACACAACUAUUAUUGAGCUUCAAACAUGAUUUUAUUUCAUUUAUUCACACUUUGAGCUAUCAUUUGAGAGAAAAUUUAUUUGUAAUCUUUAUCUUUGAAUGAUUGUAAGUGUUGGGAUACACUUGGGUUAAGAGAUUGGGAUACACUUGUAAGUCAAUUGUAAGUGUGGUUGAAGCCUUGAAGGCUUGCUUAGUAAAAUCCUUAAGCCCGGUGAGCUUGGAGGCGUGGACGUAGGCACGGUUGGCCGAACCACGUAAAAAUCACGUGUUUGUUCUCUCUUAUCCGACCUUUUUAUUUUUUAUUGCACAUUUAUUUGUCUAUUUUGAAAUUGAUUGCUUUAUUUAAAUUGCAUUAAGGCUCUUAGUUGAUAAAAUUAUUAGAAACCCAAUUCACCCCCCUCUUGGGUUGCCUUGUUGAUAUUUCAUAUUCGGUUUUAUACCAUAAAUAUUGUGAGAGCAAGCAUAUUUUUGUGGUUUUAUAUGUCGGUGACAUUUUGCUUACCAGUAAUGAUAUAGGCUAUUACAUGACACCAAGAGAUUUUUAGCUAAGAAUUUUGAGAUGAAAGAUCUUGGUGAGUAGUACUAUAUAGAUACACUAGGAUCACUCCCGAUGUACUCUUGAAUUAUCACAAAAAAGCUAUAUCGAAGCGAUUCUCAAGGGAUAUGGCACGCAAAAUUGCAAACCAGGUGAUACCCUUGUUGUUAAUGGAGAUAAGCUAUAAAUACAGAAGAUUCCUUAUAUGUUAGUAAUAGGAAGUCUAAGGUAUGCUUAGGUUUGCACCCAACUGAAUAUUAUGUACGUUAUUGGGCUAUUACGUAGAUAUUUAAGUAAUCCAAGAGUAGACCAUUGGAAAGUAGACAAAUGGAUCAUGCGAUACUUAUAGAGAACUCAUAUAUCAGAGGUCGAACUCGCUUGAGAUCAUUGGCUAUACUAACUCUGAUUUUACUAGAUGACAAGAUAAUAUAAAGUCCACGUCGAGCCACGUUUAUUUACUAGUUAAGGGUAUUGUCUCUUGAAAGAAUGUUAAACAGUCUCUUGUAGUAUCAUCCAUGAUGACAGCAAAGUUCAUAACAUGUUAUGAAGCAUCCAAUCACGGAAUAUGGCUACAUAAUUUUUUCAUAGGGUUGCGUAUAGUAGAUGGUGUUGAUAGACCACUCAAGUUAUACAAUAAGUCAGCAAUGCUGUAUUCCAAUAACAACAGGAGCUCGACGAAGUCGAUAUAUAUAGACAUCAAGUUCCUAAUUGUUAAAGAAAGAGUUCAAAAUGAACAGUUGUUUAUAGAACACAUCGACACAAACUUGAUGAUUGAAAAUCUGUUUACUAAGGGAUUGCCACCUAAGAUAAGUCAUGAGCACAUUGCUAGUAUGGAUGUUGUGUUAUUAAAAGAUAUUCAGUUCUAGUGGCAGUUUGUAAUUUUAGAUUCUCUUACAAUAUAGAAAUUUUUUCAGUUAUUUCAAUUUAUGGAUAUUUCAGGUAAUUUUCUACAAAAAUAAAGUUUUGGUUUAUUUACACUCUGAUUUUAAUGUGGUUUGGUCUCACUAAGAUUUAAAGUGGACUAGUUGGAAUAGGCAGGUUAAGAUCAUAUUGCAUGAAAUUUUUAUGCUACACAUCCACAUCAUUAUCCAUGUCAUUUAAUUGUAUUGGCAAAGUGACCUUUGAUGGGUCAAGUUAAAAUAAUUGUAACAAAGGCUGCUUUGAUCAUAUGUUGGUAUGAUUGAUAGAUCAGAUUGGUUGUAGAUACAUUUUGAUACUGACAGUAAAGUUCAGCUCAUAUAGUUAUUUAUACAAAACAUAAUUAUAAAGUUACAUAUAUAGCCCAAGUGUGAUAUUGUUGGAUCUUUAAUCUAGUUUUGUUGGAUACUUAAUCCAGUGUUAGACUUAUAUGUGAAUAAGGUUAAGCCCAAUUAAAAAUAACCUAUUAAGAUUUAUGGUAGUAUAAGCUUCAAUGUAUUUAAUAGGGUGUGUGUCUUUAAUGUGUAGACACUUAUGAUGGGCUGAAAUAGGAAUACCUAAAGACAAUAGGAAAAGUUGUCUAUAUAAAUGGUUAUGGUCCGUAGGUCACAUGCAUUAUUCUAGUCUUUUUGGCAUCCCAUCAUCAAAGAAGAGCAUAGAGAAACUUAAAAGAUUCUCUAGAGGAACGUGUUAAUUUAGAAGACAAACCACACGACUCAAAAGAGCAAUCAAGCACUAUAGAUUCAGGUAUGCUUCGCAUAUUCUGUUAUUGAUUCUUGAUUAUACAACAUGAAUAUUCUUGAAUUAUGGAUGAUGGCUUUCAUCAAAGGAUUUGUUGUUCUAAUAAAACAUGCUUCUUAUAACUUGAUGUAAGGUUGAAGGAACUGGUUCCAUGUAAUGAAUCUAAUGGUGGCCCAAGAUGGCAUUGUCGAUUGAUGGUGCCUCCACCACCAAAAGAUUAGUAUUCAACAUUUUAUUCCCAAGCUGUAUUGGUAAAUUGAUAAUCCAUUUUGCUACUAGUCUUGCUUUAUUGCUACCAUCGGGGCUUAGCUGUCCCAUACGUCGUUUUUACUUAGCUUCAUAUUCUUGAAAACAACCUAGUAUAGGAUUUUCACAUUACUUUCUUCAUCGAUCAAAAUAUGCCAAAUAUGAAUGUCUACAAUCGAGAGACUAAAACCAAUAGAUCAAUAUAAAGCAUGUAGAUGCCUUCCAAAUCCUUUCUUGUGAUGAUGACUUGGGUGAAAUCUUUUGAGAUUGACAUUACAGCCAAUAUGCCAAAUUCUUGUACUUUUGCUACUCUUCCAUAUUUUGCUCUCCAACUUUGUCUACUUAGUUCUAUAAUAGGCUUGCUAUGAACGGUUGCUUAAUGUAGUUUAUUUAGAGUUAAUUGCAUUAUUUUUUGAGCCAUCUAAACCAACUCUUUGUUUUUUAGAUUCUUCAAAUAGUCAUUAAUGGAACCAUGAAUCAUAUUAAUUAUUGGUUGAGACAAAUUCUCUUCUAAACUGUUUGUAUUCAAAUAUGCUAGCAUCUCUUCUUCUGAGGAAUAAUUCUCUAAAUUAUAAUCCUCCAAAGCCCAUUUAUAGAGCCAACCAUAGUUGAUUUGGUUGAGUUUUCCUCCAAAUCAAACAUCUUCUCCUUAGUAUUUAGAGGAUUUGGUGAUUUUGACUUCAGAUCUUAAUUCAACGAUAUUUUUAUAAGUUGCCUUGUCAAAGAAUGUACACAAUUUGGAUCCUCCAUAAUCCACAUUCAUUGGUUGAAUAGGCCUUAUCAUUGUGAAAUUCACAAUGCUUACCCUAGUCCCUACUUUCCAUUGCCAUCUUGACUAGCUUUAGAGUUUGGAAUAAGCAAGAUUCUUUAUUCUCUUGUCAAAUUUGUAAAAUGAGAGUGUUGAUUGGGGUCAAUAUAGUCUCAUCAAAUUUAUGCCAUUUCAAAUCUCUAAGCCAAACAAAACUUUUUGUUCACAGGCUAGAAUAUUAUUGUAUAUUGGCAGGAAACCAGUGACAUAUAUUAUGAUGGUCUAUAUCAGUUUGCACUGCUAGUAUAACAAGCCACAUACAAUUAUUUUCUAUCUUUGAGCAUAAUACUUUUCAUUAAAAUGAAGUGGUAAAUAUGAGAUCUAUUCGUCCUGAAUAGGAAAUAAAGGAAAUACUAAAACAAAACGGCAUCUUCUUCAAAUAAUAUAGAUAAUCUUGCUCAUGUUACUCUUUCUUCUACUCUUUCUCUCCCAAAAUCAUAUUAUAAACACCUAGCCUCGAAAAUAGAAAACCUUGUGGAAUAUUCGUAUGUUCCAGAGUCGGCCCAGAUCAGUGAAUCCUCUAUGCCCCUAAUCAGCCCAUAUAAGCUAUACCAAAGAUCUAAUUCCUUCACCAGAAGUUUUAGAACUCUCAUUUCAACCAAAAGGCCAGCUCCAAAGGAAUAUAUCUAGUCUUCCAGGCUGGAUCAGUGUGCUCUUCAAGCAUCACAAGUAGAACAAUAUGUUACCCUUGAAAUUCCACCUUGUUGUCCAGUGGAAAAGAGAAGGAUACACACACCUCCAUCUUGGAGGCGUUCGUUUGAUUCUCACCCUUCACGGGAGAAAAGCCUUACCUGCCACAACCAGAUUAGCCUUACCCGUUUCAAGGAAUAUCAACAUGCAAUCAUAGGAACAAUCCUGACUACUCUGCAUGCAGGAAGUGUUCUUUUGACCUUUUACCCACAUUUCAACCUCUCACUAGAUGAUCCAAACCUCCCCACUACUCUAAAGGUCCAGACCCAGAUCCAAGGAGCUGAACAAACAGCCUCCUCAAAAAUGGCAACCUUACACCAUCAACUGGUAUACCGCCUCUAAAAUCAUGCUCUUGAUCUUUCCAUACCUCAAACCACAUCAGAUGCACUGAUGAUCCUUGCAGACUCCUCAGAAAGCAUCCCUUCCAUAGUUCAGAUCCCUAGGCAAAUUCAAAAACAGGAACUUCUUAAGCUCAUGCCCCUAGAAUGGCUAUCCAAUUAUGUAAAAUUCUAUCAAAACUCUCAGCCGGUCCAAACAAUUGAUGCUCACUUUGAAAAAAGAACAAAUGGUGAUGCGAAUCCCACAAUGAAACUUUCAAUCCCACACUUAAUUUGUAGUUUCAACUUCCCAAGAAAGUUCUAAAUAGAUUUAAGACAAACAAAAGCCUUAACCCAAUGCUUAAGAAAACAUGAACCAAAGGUAUAGAGAAUGGUAUUGACGCCACACUCAAGACAUAGAUGAGAAGGUGAGUGAUAAGUCUAAAUUUGGAAUGCAAAUUCUUGAUAAGUUCACUAGUUCUCAAAAGAACCAAAGAAAGAAUAAUCUUUCAAAUUCAAAUAACAUUAAUCUCCAAUCCCAUUACAUAGCAAGGUUGUUGAAUUUAAAUAGGCUAAAAGAAACCCAAGAUCCUAAAAAUACAAAUGGAAACAUUGGAACAACCCUCCAAGUAGGUUUGUCCAAAGAUGUUUCAAAAGUCUUCACCAACCCACCAUAAUUAAUGCUAUCUUUGACAAACUUAAUCCUAGCCUACUAUAAUUAAUGCUAUCAUUGACAAACUUAAUGUUAGCCCACCAUCAUUGAUGGUAGACUUACCUUACACAUUGACAAACUUGAAACAAAACAAACAAAUGAAGUUGAAAAACAAAGGAGUCGUUGAAAAUCCCAAGUCUGAACAAGCUGUCAUAACUCCUUCUAGAAAACUCCAAAUCCAGCUCUGUUAAAAUUUAUUGGAAAGCUAACUUAAUUAUCUUUCCAACGGUAUAUAGCUUGCACGUUACUUCUGGCUCAAUCAAUACAGUUUUUAUUCCGAAUUUGACCUUUCUGCAUUUGAUACAAAUUGUGUAUUUGGCUGCCCAAUAACUUGAAUAAUGCCCACAAUGCCUUGUCUUCUCUUCAAGGCCAAUUCAUGAUGUCUUGCAUCUUGAAUUGCAUUUUCAAUCCAUAUUUUCUCAAUUAAUCAUUUAAAGCAGCUUGCAUCUUUUUGGCUCUUGCUCUUGUAAUUGGGCCUCCAUGAAUGUGCAAAGGAUCACUUGAACUUUUAAUGGUAUUCCCUUGAUGGUUCUCAUCAAAUGGAACAGUAAAAUUCAUUUUUCAGUCACCAUCCACUUCCCAGACACCACCUAUAGUCUCUCAUCCACCCUCUGAACAAUCCACACCCAGAAACUCCUUUUCAUACUCCUCCAUGAUCACAGCCGUAUCAACGGCACAAGAAAAUAUUCCCAUCCAUGAAUUUGCCCCAAAUGGCUAUCCGAUCUACCCAGAAAAAAUCAAUGGUAAUUUCUUAUGAGACAUUCUAGGGUCCCGUAUGUGUGAUCCAGAUUUUCCUUGCCUUGAAGAGGAAGAUGAUAAUGAUGAUGAUGAUUUCAACAGAUGUCCUAGACGGCGUAAAAAGAAAAGUCACAAAAUGGAUCCUUGCAAUAAAAAACCUCCUUUACCACUUGAUGAUCCAGAUGGUUUAACGCCUUUGCCUAUUUAUAGGAAAGGCCUGAGACUCAUACAGAAGGAGUAUAGUCAAAAACCUUGCAGACAAAAGGCAACCCAGCUUGUGCCACAGCUCGUGCCACAUCCAACACCCAUUCAGUCUUGCAUGAUGUUCUCAUCAAGCUCCUAUCAUGAGCAAUUUCCUCCUCUAGAAAAAUAGACUGAUCCCCAGACAAAGGUCACCACCAAACCUUUUGUCCAUUCCCCUGUUACACCAAAUGGCCAGCUUGAGGAACCAAAGACUUUCAAAGCUGUUCUAAACUGGCAAACUCAAAAUGCUAGGGCACAGAACUCAACCUUUAGAUCUCUUGAUGAAAAAAUAGAGAAAGUCGCUUCUCAGGUCAAGCAAACUAACACAAAGGUUAACAAGAUAACAACCCAGCUCGAACAUAUGUAUUUUGACAUGCAAAAUUGAGUCUCCCAACUUGACUCAGAUCUUCGAUCCAUGAUUCAAAAUAGAUAUUGGGGUCCUGAAUUCAACCAAAACGAAGCAAAGAUUAGGCAGUUGAAAGCUGAACUUGCCAGGAUUGAUGCUGACAAAUAACAACCUUCAUUGUUUGCAAAAUCCCCUGCGUUACCCUUAUACACCCCAACUUUCAGUACUUACCAACCUUUAUACACACCAUCCACCUCAUGACAACUUGUAGAUUAUGCCAAAUUCUUUGUUCUGUCCCACCUUAAGCAUGCUCCAACUCAUGCUCCUCCAAAACCACGGACUAAACCUCCUAAGCCUGAAUCACCUCCAACUUACCACCAACCCAAUGAUCCACAGCCUUCUCCAGAACCUCAAUCUACUCAGAAGAACAAAGAACUAAUGCACCAAUACUCAUCCCAAGUUCUACCAUAUCUUUCAGAAUCAUAUGAAACUUCUCCAUCCCAAACAGAAGAAAUCUCUACAGACGAAGAAUCCUUUUCUACUUCAGAUUCUGAAAAAGAAUUAGUAGAUGUUUCCAAACUCCUCAUGGUCCAGCCAUCAACAGGAUCAAAUAAACCUUCCCCAUCCUCUCCUCCUCAAACACCUAUAGUUGAGGAAGCAAAUUCUAAUACCAACCCUACACCUCAUUAAGAAAAUUCUCCUCCUAAACCUUCCAAUGGCCCUUGGUUUACCUUUGAUGACAUUCCAAGAGUAAAAUGGCCAGCCAGAUUUCAAGAAUGUUCUGCCUGGAUUGAUGGUCAAAUGCUCAGAACUGGAGCAACAACCCAAACAGUCCUUAAGGAGUUCAGUUCUCGUUUCAUUGGAUCCUUACGAGAUUGGUUUGAAAGUCUAGGUCCAUACCGUCAACUUCAAGUAAUUCAAGCAAAGAUUUCAAAAGUCCUAGGAGUAAUUUAUGAGCAGUUCCUUGGAGAAGCUAUAGCUGCUAAUAAACAAACCAGACGAGAAUUCCAUUUAAUGAAGUGAUGUUCUCUCCAAAUUAAAGAUCUAGAUUUUCACUACAAGAGAAUGUCUACAAUGUAUUACAAGCUCAAACGGUUUUAAUGAUCCCUCAUAAAAACAUGUCUUUGUAGCAUCUCUUCCGAAGGAGAUUCAACCAAAACUUCAGAAAUAAAUCACAAUCCACCAGCUGGAUAUAGCCAACCUCUCCUUGGGAAAAAUCUAUCAAUUAGCAAUGAACUGUUUGGAAAGACUCUAUGAACAGAAGGAAUUCUUCAAAGACCUCAUAGAAAACAAACAACCUUUUAAAAGUGCGUGCAAAAACCCCACCUUUCCAUUCAGUGCAAAAGUGAGAAGGAUUGCACUUGCUCAACCAAAAAGAAAUCCCACUUCCGAAAAUUCUGAAAUUCAGAAAAGAAAAGCCAUACACCUUCCAGAUCCAAAAAACCUUAUCGAUUUUUCAGAAAAAAGAACCCUGAGCAGUCCUCUAAAUCCAAGAGCUGUCGUUGUUUUAUCUGUAAAAAGAAAAGGCAUUUCGCGAGAAAUUAUCCAAACAGACCAGCAAAGUCUGUCAGGCUUAUUGAGCAUCUCUAGGAUUCCAUGUUACUUUUAGAAAGUGAUGAUGUUAAAUCCUUCUUUUAUGAACAAGAAGAUUAUGAUGAACAAACAGCUUUUGUUCUUACUGAAAAAGAAGAUUAUUCUGAGUCAGAACAUAUUUCUGUAUUUAAAACUGUUCAACAAAUUCAGAAAGUCCAACCAGCCAUUCCCAUCCCUUCAAUCAAAAUCCACCUUCUCUCUAGAAAAUUUGAAAAACCAAUUCCCAUCAUUGGUUUUGUUUAUACUGGAGCUCAGAAGAGUAUGCUUAACCCCUCAAUCCUUCCAUCCCAUUCUUGGGAAAAGCAUACAGAAUAUUUCAAGGCAGCCAAUGGAGAAUUAUUUCACACAGAUUUGAUUACCAAAAAGCCCGUUGGCUGAAACAAGGAUCAUUUGAGAGGAUCAUAGGAUGAAGAAAUUUACCGUCAUGGUUUUCUAACAGAUUCCCUGAAAUUGUUCUCGAUCUCAAGCUCUCCUCCUUCAUAUGAUCCUCUCAAAUCCAGUUUUCUUCUUCAUUGUCCAGAAAGUCAUAGUCAAUUUCUUCAUCCUACCCCUCUCUGGAAAAAUGAAAACUUCUUCAUUAAGCUUCCUUUUAAGCUUAACGAAGACAUUAACCCAGCCAAGGCUACCCAUCCAGGAAUGACUCCGACCGACCUGAAACUAGCCCAAGAAGAAUGUUCCCAAUUGCUGAAACAAGGCCUUAUUGAGCCCACAAAUUCAGAAUGGGCUUGUCAAGCUUUUUAUGUGGAAAAAAUGUCUGAAAUAGUUAGAGGAAAAAAAUGUCUUGUUAUUGAUUCCCAGCCUCUCAAUUGUUUUCUCAGAGACGAUAAGUUCACUUUGCCAAAAAUCCAAUCCUUAUUCGUCCAUAUCCAAAAUGCUAAGGUCUUCUCAAAAUUUGACCUUAAGGCAGGUUUCUGGCAAUUAGGAAUCCACCCUGAUGAUAGACCUAAAACAUCUUUUUGCAUUCCAAAUGCCCACUACCAAUGGAAAGUAAUGCCAUUUGGCCUUAAGGUAGCCCCCUCACUUUUCCAAAAGGCCAUGAUCAAGAUCUUUGAACUGAGCCUUCAUCAUGCACUUAUCUACAUAGAUGACGUGCUAUUAUUUUCCAAAGAUCAUGAUUCCCACCAACAAUUACUUUCCCACUUUCUUGAGAUAGUGGAAACAUAUGGCAUAAUGUUGUCUAACAAAAAGAGUGUCCUAGGCCAAAACACUAUUACCUUUCUUGGCAUGACUCUAAAAGAUGGAUACUAUAGUCCUGGUCCACACAGAGUCUAGGAACUCAUUCAUUUUCCAGAUGAACAUUUGUCAAAAAAGCAGAUUCAACAAGUCCUUGGUAUUAUCAAUUACCUUCGGGAAUUCUUUCUACAUGUAGCAGUUCAUACCAGUCAGCUUUCAAAAAUGCUUAGAAAAUCAGCCCCACCAUGGGGUCCCUCUCAGACUGCUGCCAUCCAACAUCUUAAAAGCAUCGCCCAGCAUCCACCUCCUUUGAGAAUCCCCAUUGAUGGUCAGCGUAUUCUACAGAUUGAUACGAGUGAUGAAUACUGAGGGCCGUCCUUUUAGAAAACCAUGACGGUAAAGAAUCUUACUGUGCCCAUGCUAGUGGACAAUUCAAAGGUCAAAAAAACAUUAUCAUGUGAUCUACAAAGAGAUUCUAGCCGUUAAAUAUGGGAUUCAAAAAAUUGGAUUUCAUCUUAUUGGCCAUAAUUUCCUUGUCAGAUUAGACAAUUCCUCUUUCCUAAAAAUCCUUGAAUUCAAGAAUAAGGUCCUCCCAAACAAACACCUCCUCCGACUCAAAACUUGGUUUUCAAAAUAUAAAAGGAGACCAGAACCUCAUCCCUGAUCUCUUGUCCAGACCUUCAUCUUCAUCUCUAAGAGUCUCUUUUCCUUCAGUCCCAGUCAUAUUCAUGGCUUCUUCUCUUCCCAACACAACUUUGACAAAAAAAAUCUUUUCUUUGUAAUCUCACUUUCUCUAGUCCUUACCAAAUCCAAGAUUUUGCAAAGAAGUUUGUUUUUCGAUAUUUCAUGAAUAUCUAUCGCACCCAGAUAACCGGAUUCCCAAGUUUUCAUCCGAAUCACCUCUUCCUUACAGGCCUAAAAAUCAAUCCUUCCAGGGAUGUCACAGAAGACGAAUUGUGGUAUAUAUGGUGCCUUACUGUCUUAUACGCCACCAAACUUGUCUUCCCAGUACAAACAAUGUUUCGAUGCCUCAUAGAGCCAAACCAGGUGAUACGAAAUCCCACAAUGAAACUUUGAAACUCACACUUAAAUUGUAGUUUCAACUUCCCAAGAAAGUUCUAAACAGAUUUAUGACAAACAAAACCUUGACCCAAUGCUUAAGAAAAGCAUGAACCAAAGGUAUAGGGAAUGAUAUUGACGCCACACUCAAGAAAUAGAUGAGAAGGUGAGUGAUAAGUCUAAAUUUGGAAUGCCACAAGAAUGCAAAUUCUUGAUAAGUUCACUAGUUCUCAAAAGAACCAAAGAAAGAAUAAUCUUUCAAAUUCAAAUAACAUUAAUCUCUUAAUUGUCAUACAUAGCAAGGUUGCUGAGUUUAAAUAGGCUAAAAGAAACCCAAGAUCCUAAAAAUACAAAUGGAAACAUUGGAACAACCCUCCAAGUAUAGGUUUGUCAAAGGGUGCUUUAAAAGCCUUCACCAUCCCACCAUUAUUAAUGUUAGCAUUAACAACAUAAUGCUAGCCCACCAUCAUCAAUGGUAGACUUACCUAACACAUUGAUAAACUUGACACAAAAUAAAUAAAUGAAGUUGAAUAAUCAAAGGAGUCGUUUGAAUUCCCAAGCCUGAACAAGCUGUAAAAAAUUGAUCAUACCUCCUUCUAGAGAACUCCAAAUCCAACUCUGUAAAAAUGCAUUGGAAAGCUAACUUAAUUAUCUUUCCAACGUAUAUAGCUUGCACAUUAAUUCUGAAUUUGCCAUUUUUUCAUUUGAUCCAAAUUGUGUAUAUGGCUGCCCAAUAGCUUGAAUAAUGCCCAUAAUGCCUUGUCUUCUCUCCAAGCCCAAUUCAUGAUGUAUUGCAUCUUGAAUUGCAUUUUCAAUUCAUGAUGUCUUGCAUCUUGAAUUACAUUUUCAAUCCAUAUUUUCUCAAUUAAUCCAUUUAAAGCAGCUUGCAUCUUUUUGGCUUUUGCUCUUGUAAUUGGACCUCCAUGAAUGUGCAAAGGAUUACUUGAAGUUUUUAUGGUAUUCCCUUGAUGGUUCUCAUCAUUCCCCCUCUCCUGAAAAGUAUUCGUCCUCGAAUCUUCACCUACAUCGAAAGAGAAAGAUCAGAAACAUUAAAAGUAGCACUCACAUUAUACUCACCAGGAAGAUCCAAUUUGUAGGCAUUGUUAUUUAUUCGUGCAACCACUUGAAAUGGACCAUCUCCCGUUGGAAGCAACUUGGAACGCCUUUGUGCUGGGAACCUCUCCUUUCUCAUAUGCACCCAAACCCAAUCUCCAGGCUGAAAAACAACUUGCUUAUGUCCUUUGUUGGCUUGAGUAGUAUAUUGUUCAGUUCUCUUUUCUAUGUGUUGAUGUGUUCUCUCAUGCAAUUGCUUCACAAAUUCAGCUUUCUUUUUACCAUCCAUACUAGCACGCUCAUCAAUAGGCAAAGGUAAUAAAUCUAAAGGAGUUAAUGGAUUAAAACCAUAUACAAUCUCAAAUGGUGAAAAUUUAGUAGCAAACAUUCUUCCCAAGUUUUCAAGUUCUUUUGAAUAAUGGCACGCAACAAAGUAGAUAGUGUUCUAUUUACAACCUCAGUUUGUCCAUCAGUUUGUGGAUGACAAGUAGUAGAAAACAAAAGUUUAGUACCCAACUUACCCCACAAAGUUUUCCAAAAGUGGCUCAAGAACUUAGCAUCUCGAUCUGAAACUAUGCUCCUUGGUACUCCAUGCAACCUGACUAUUUCCAACUAUGCUCCUUGGUACNNNNNNNNNNNNNNNNNNNNNNNNNNNNNNNNNNNNNNNNNNNNNNNNNNNNNNNNNNNNNNNNNNNNNNNNNNNNNNNNNNNNNNNNNNNNNNNNNNNNCAUCAGUUUUGUGACAUGGAAUGAAAUGUGCUAUCUUUGAAAACCUAUCAACAACAACAAAAACAGAAUCCUUUCCCCUUUUUGACCUAGGUAAACCCAAAACAAAGUCCAUAGAAAUAUCAACCCAAGGAUUUUCUAUCCCUUUGUAAGGCAGGAGUUAAUUUGAAAUAAAAUUUAGGUUUUCUUUACAUCAUGUUUCUCUAAACCCUUUUCUCUCUUCUAGGAAUCAAAGAAAUUGUUUGGGUUAAUAAUGAUACGCUCACCUCUAAUUUUCUAAACUGAGUGCUCGUAAAACUCUAGACUUAGCAUGUUUACAAGUGAUACACUUCUCACAUAUUCUUUCAACAUCACGUUUCAUAUGUGGCCAAAAGAAGUGUUCUUAAACCUCCCCCAUGAGCUUCACGCACAAGCAAUUCACACAAAGAACUAUUAGGCACACAAUUUAUUUUCUCUAAAUAAGAACCCAUCAUGCCUAUAGAACUUACCGAAUGAAACUUUCUCACAAGCAUUAAACACAUUAGUAAAAUCAGGAUCAUUAACAUAUAAUUCUUUAAUGUACUCAAAUCCUAACAACUUUGCAUUAACAUAUAAUUCAACCCAUUUGGCAUGUCUCUUAUGCAACUUACCUUGCCCUUUCAAAUGCUUCAAGGACUCGUGAUCAGUGUGUAUAACAAACUCUUUAGGUAGAAAAUAAUGUUGCCAAGUUUCCAAUGCUCGCACCAAUGCAUACAUCUCCUUGUCAUAGGUAGGAUAAUUUAGGGCUGCUCCACUCAAUUUCUCACUAAAGUAAGCAAUUGGACGCCCUUCUUGCAUCAAAACAGCUCUAAUACCUAUACCCUGAAGCAUCACACUCAAUUUCAAAAGUUUUAGUAAAAUCAGGUAAAGCAAGUAACGGUGCAGAAACCAAUUUUUCCUUAAUUAGAUUAAAUGCCCUUUCUUGUUCACUAUCCCACUUAAAUCCCACAUGUUUCUUCACAAUUUCAGUUAAUGGUACAGGAAGGGUGCUAAAAUCUUUCACAAAUCUUCUAUAAAAACUAGCCAAACCAUGAAAACUUCUUACCUCACUUACACUUUUAGGUGUAGGCCACUCUUUAAAAGCCUUUACCUUCUCUUCAUCAACCUCAAUUCCUUUAGCACUUACAACCUAACCAAGAAAAACAAUCUGAUUUGUACAAAAGGAACACUUCUUCAAAUUAGCAUACAACUUUUCCUUCCUUAAAACAGUCAAUACACUUUGCAAAUGUUCAAUGUGUUCAUCUAAGCCUUUGCUAUAGAUCAAAAUAUCAUCAAAAUAGACAACUACGAAUUUACCAAUAAAAGCACGCAAAACAUGGUUCAUUAACCUCAUAAAAGUGCUACGUGCAUUAGAUAACCCAAAUGGCAUCACUAACCACUCAUAUAAACCAUAUUUGUUUUAAAGGCAGUUCCACUCAUCUCCUCUCUAUCCUAAUUUGAUAAUAUCCACUUUUAAGAUCAAUUUUACUAAACACACAAGAACCAUGCAAUUCAUCAAGCAUGUCAUCAAGUCUAGGAAUAGGAUGUCGAUACUUUACAGUGAUUUUAUUAAUUGCACAACAGUCAACGGACAUCCUCCAUGUUCCAUCCUUUUUGGGCACUAGUAAAACUGGUACCGCACAUGGACUCAUGCUCUCCCUCACAUAUCCUUUUGCCAAGAGUUCUUCAACUUGCCUUUGAAGCUCUUUUGUCUCCUCGGGGUUACUUCUAUAUGCAGGUCUAUUAGGAAUCGUAGCUCCAGGGACGAAGUCUAUUUGAUGCUCAAUUCCCCUAAUGGGUGGCAAACCGUUAGGGACUUCAUUUGGAAACACAUCAUCAAAGUCCUGCAAAAGAGUCACAAUAGCUCUAGGCAAAGAAAAGUUAAGCUCAUUAGUGUGUAAACAAGCCUCUUUGCACAAAAGUACAACGAUAGGUUGUUUUGAAAAGAAAGCCCUCUUAACCUCGCUCUCUUUUGCAAACAAGUUCACAUGCUACCUCUCUUUUCUCUCAACAAUAUUUUUUUCUAUCUUUUCACUUGCUUUUCUCUCCAUCUCUCUUUAUUUUGUACUCUCAUUUUCAUUUUUUGUAUCACUCUCUUUUUGUAUUGACAUUUGAUCCUCAUACACUUGCCUAGGUGUUAAUGGUACAAGAGUGAUUUGCCUUUUGUUCAUUACAAAGAAUAU